rnacentral:lncRNA from 1 species
CUUGGCAAUCUCAAGUGGACUGUACCGGGUGGAAGGCACUUCUCGGACCAGACAUCCACUUGACCACGCUCAUUCUAGGAAAAAAGACAGCAAUAGUCAGAUUCUAGCCAGAAACAGCCAUAAAGACAAGACUGGCAAACAAACCAAAAUAAACCGAGGAAGAAUGUUGUAACCAAUUAUCCUUUCUGCUACAUAUAAGAAAAGAAGCAAAAUGGUGUACAUACAAACAUAACAUGCAGAAUGUGUGAACAGGCACAAAUAACCUUCUCGAGCAAUCUCAAGAAGCCAACAAAUGAACCAGAAGCAAUAUUUGAAGGUUGUCAAUGAGUGUAGUUGAAGAAAAAAAUUGCACCGAACUGCUUAUUCUCCAGGAUGAAGCCUAAUACUUUCAAGACUCAUCAUUUAAGAUACUAUACAACCUAAAGGGGGAACACGAAUAUGCAAGUUCCCUUCCACUAUUCCCUAUCCCUUCUCUUUCACGAAAAUUAGGUAGCUUCAAAGUCUUUAACCUAUAAGCAGAUUUUGUAGGCAAAACUCAUUCAACCUCCUACUUUCUUCGUUACACUAACCUGACCAGAAAACCUUUUUGUCCACUAUCCUCUCAUUGUUUCCGCUAUAAAACAAGUCAUAACCUAUUCUUAACAGAUCAUGCACUUGUGCAGUACAAUGCUGAUAAAUUAACAUAAAAUGUCAAAUUGCAAAUAAAUCUCAACUUUCUUAACACGUGUAUUAUUUAGAAGGCUUUACCCUAGGUACAAUGCCAUUUACUGCAGGUGCAAGAAUCAGUGGUUCAGUUUGCCAAUGUCCAUAGAGGGCGACAGUUCCUCCACAAUCCCCCUCGCCACAAUCAUCAUCUUCAACAUCCUGUCCUUUGUUCUGCUUUCCAGAACGUUUCAGAACCUGAGCAUAAGCCAGCAGAUUAUGGUACUUCCGCAUCUGUGGACAAUCAAAAUCAUAACGCAGACACACAAAAGAUUUAUGUUCAGACAAAAACCUUUGCUGGUGUCUCGUUAGCUUUCACUUGGAGCCCCUCGCGAAGCCAUCUUUCCUUUCUUUGGAGUAUUUGUACACAGGAUCGUGGGUAUACUGGAUGACCAGAACAAAAACCUAAUACAGGUCCUUUGGGGUAGAGUAUCUGAUUUUUGUUAAGCCAUCUUUCGAUUAUGUAUAGGUGAUGACUUCUGUAAGCCUGCAAGGAAAAAUUACUUCAAAACAAAUCUAUCGGUACAACAUAGUGACAUUUUGGCGGAUACUUGUGUUUGUUAUACCUGUUGAUUUGUGGGAAGAGGUUCAGUCAGUGCCCUAGUUUCCAACUCCAUAUCUUCGAGAGAGCUCCUGUUUGCUGUAACAGAAUUCCAUUAAAGAAUUUUGCAUUAGUUCUCUAUCACUAUGUUCACACAUAUCCAGCAGACAAUCAUUACCUCCUUGUGCAAAAUGAACUUCACCAUUGGUGGCAACUGACUCCAACUCCUUUAACGGUGCCAAUACUUCAUCCCACCAAAUUGAGUUGACUCGUUCAGAUGCUAUCUUGUGCCACUUUGUACAGUACCUGACAAGAAAAUUGAAAGAUAUAUUAGACAGAAGCAUCUACCAGUUAAUCUCAUCCGUACGGAUAUCAACACUUUUUACAAUUUUUUUUAUAAGUCAGCUCUUUCAAUUAAUUUAAAAGCCUCUGAAUGUAUCCAAUGUCGCCAAAGGCGAAAAGCGCUAAAAAGUGCUCCGAGUCUAUCAGAGCUUUAAGCACAAAGCACAAUUAAAGUGCAAUAUAAUAAGUGUACUUUAGUUCAUAAACAAAAUGAUGAAGACUAUAAUGAUCAACAACAACAUACCAAACAAACUUUUAAAAAAAAAAAAUUCAUGGCUUACACCUUGUUGAUGUAGGGAAGGAAUAAAAUGAGGAACAACUGACAAGGGCAAGACACGAUUUUAAGAUUCUGUGUGUGACACAGUAAUAUUAUGAAAAAAGUAAUUAUAUAGUAAUGAAACCAAGGAGUAAUUAUUUUAUCAUGCUGCAGAAAAAAUAAUUAAGAUUAUAUAUAGAACGAUGACCAACAGAACUAAACUUAAGAGAAACUACAACACUUAAUGAAAUUAGGAACACCAAAGCAGCAAGAAGUGGAAACCUGCGUGUCACAUCUUUAGCUCCAUUUCCAGCAAAAGCAACAACAUAUCUUAAAGGCAACUUGCAUGCAGCAGCUGCAGCUUCCACAUUUUGCUCUACAUCAAUAAUUGCAUUUACAACAUCAACAUGCACCCAUUUCCCAGUCAGGUUCUCACCACUGCAGUAGACCUCUGCCCAGUAUAGAGGUGCACCUACUUUCCUAGAUCCAAGAGCAGUUGAUAUUCCAUGAGAGGAAGUUGAACACUCUUCUGCUUUAAUUUUCUUCAUUUUGAACGGUGAUACAUUUGAUGAAGUACUUUGUUCAUCCUUCACAUCUGCGAUCAUAGUGUUCCUAGAAAUUUCAACUGCAGUGGCAGAAAGAGCCAUUUCCAGCUGCAUCUCAAAUUCAAGAUCCCCUUUUCUCUUUCGCCUCUCAUUAAUAUCAUGCUGAACAUCCGAUGUUGACUCCGACAUUCUUUCAUUAGAUUUAUCUGUAAUAGUUUCUCUAGGCUUGCCAUUGUUAGCUUGGCCAGCAGAUGUUGAAGUCUUAUCAGAAACAUUAUGUUUGCCAUCAGCCAUAGAUUUAGCAGGAGAGAUAGGAGAACACCUUGGUCUAGCCACCAUCAAUGUUGAAGAGUUAAAUAUCUCGCUACCAGCCCUACUAGGGCCUUGACCAGAGGGAUAUGGUUUCUCAAUUUCAGGCUUCAAGGAAGCAACAUCCAUGAUUGAUACAAACCUGCAAAGAAUGUCUUCAGAUAUCUUGAAGGUAAUUUCUCAUGAGAUUGAAAACUUGCAAUCGUUGGAGCUUUCUUAAAGCUUGCAAGAUUGAGAAUAGAAAAAAUAAGCAGCUUAAAGUGUCCUUUUUGGUAUACUACCAGGGGCUUUUCAUGUUUGAAAUGUAGUAAAAAACCUCUACAAGGGGGAAGUUCUAAUGCAACAUUGUCACCUAACUUCCUAGACUAUGCCGCUUGUUACCAAAAUAAAAGUCUUCCAGAAGGUGGACUUCCACAAAUGUAUCAAAACAUAUUUAUGCACUUCGUUACUCCAAGAAUAGUCAAUUCAUAGAUAAAUGUGUUAAACAUCACAACGCAAUAGCUCUAGCAACUAAUUAAAUAUGUAACAGAAAAAAUGAGAAACAGAACACAAUACGAACUGGGCAACACAAGUCAAAAAAAUAAUUUAACUGAUUGAGACAGCUUCAGAGUUAAUACAUUCUACGCAGCUUAACUUCAUAGAUUAAAUGCUCUGGAUAACUUCUGUUGCGCCUAGCAACCUACCCCUCUCUCUGCCAUUGCUCUCUCUACACCAUCACUCUAUUCCCCCCUUCCCCUCUCUCUUUUCUCUUAUAGUAAUCCCUCUUUCCCCUUCUCCAACCUUUUUCUGCAUUUUGAAUUAUUCUUGGAAUCAAGUGGAAGCCGAACCAUGGGAGGGAGGGGAAGGAAACUGUGUUCCUAGCAUGACCUUUUGCUUUGACUUAAACAUUGAAAUGAAUAUCGUCAUGGUCAAGUUAGGGCUUACAGCAUUUAAGACAUAAUCGUCAUUCAAAAGCCAGAGUAAUGAAUAAUAAAACAGUCAGUAGAAAAGGAACAGAGGCUUUUUAGUUGUAAUAGAAUACGAAAAAUAGCAGCUUACCUGGUCGUAAGAUUCAAAGCCCUAAACAGCGCGACAGAUAAUGCAGCAACCUGUAAUAACAAAAAAGAAAAGGGCUCGUUUCUAAGAUCAGUGGGCAACAUACUAAUCGCUGUUUCUUCUAUCAAGAUGUAGAAGCCUGCACAGCCUCUGAAUUUACUUUUGAAUAGGAAGUUUCCAAAGUUUAAGCAAUUAACCAGGAUAUUACACCAUAUCUGAAUGACCAUAGUUUCUUUAUUUUCUAUUGUUUUUUUUUUUUUUUCGGCAAGAAGGGCAAACAAAGAACUAACGAAAUAUCUAAGUGAACAAACACAAAAACAGGAUAGGUUGUUCUACUUCUUGUCUGAGAAACUUCACAAGCGGAUCUGCCAUGAAUUACUGUGUCUGAACUACAAGAAAUUGAAGCUAAAUUUGGUGACUUUAUCAGAAAAACAUUAGUCAAACCACUUUCUUUGGCAGCAACCAUAAUUGCCUAUUACCAUCUCCUACGAUUAUAAGACUGUGCAUGUCAAGUCUACCAUGUUAAGCAUGCAACAUAGUCUCCGACCAACUGAUUCAUAUCCUAAAGCAAGAAGAUGCAAAUAUAUGAUGGGGUGGAGAAGCAAACAUGUGACACAAAGGAAAUAUGUCAAUGACAGGGUAGCCAUUAUUCAAUACAUAUGAAAUUUCCAAGAAAGCACACAAUGUUGCGAUAAAAGCUAUGCUCAGAACAAGCAAAAUAAAGGAAAAACUUAUAAAGGAAAACAUACCUCUUCUUGGGUUCCUUCCUGAGACUCAAGAGUUGAUGCCAAAGCUGAAUGAAAUGGCUUCUCCGUAUCAUUUGAACUUCCAACACGAAAUUUACUGUGGAACUGCACCCAGUGGUAAGAGGCGAAAUAAGAGAUCGGAACUUGUAUAUCAAAUGUCAGUUAUGAUGAGAACAUGCAACAGAUACCCAAUUGACAAGAGGAGCUAGAGUCUUUGCAGUAAGUUUUGGAACAUCGGUCAACUUCAUCAGAUGUGCAGGCAGCAGUGAAAGUAAAGCAGCCUGGCAAAAGUGAGUAUCAGUACAUCGAGCGAACGAUUUAAAAGCAAAAGUUCACCUGCAUUUCCCAUAUCAUGCACUGUAAUUAUACAAGAUAGCAGUAAGCUUCUUGUUAAUUCAUCAAUGAAGGAAGUACAGAGUUUGAUAGUGUUUGUAGAAGAAAGGAAGGAAGAGAACUGAGAGAGGAAGAAGAUGAGAGAGAAGAGUAACUGCCUGUAUACAUUGUGCUUCGAUGUGUAAAGUCAUAUACAUUUAUAGGCUAGAGAUUAGGCUAACUAACUAACUAACUAACUAGCCGUUAGCACUAGUGUAACUAACUGAAAACAGUUAUAACAGAAAAACAACUAGUCUAUUAUUGCUUCUUCUAGAAUCUUCCACACUUGAGACCUCUUUCUUUUGUAUUCAACACUCCCCCUCAAGCUAGGAAGGUGAAAAAAUGUCACACAUUCCUAGCUUGUGAUUUAGAUGCACUUGUUGAGCCUUGGUGAGGCCUUUGGUCAGCAUAUCUGCAGGUUGAUCUUGUGUAGAAAUAUAGUUUGUAGUGAUCAUCCCUUAGCUUAUCUUUUCUCUUAUGAAGAAGUAAUCAAUGUCAGUGUGUUUAGUUCUCUCAUGGUAAACUAAAUUGGCAGCUAUUUGAAUAGAUGAUUUGCUGUCACUAAACACCUUGACUGGCAGCUUUACUUCCAUUCCAAUUUCCUUUAGCAAGCCUAGUAUCCAAACCAGCUCAGCUGUUACAGCUGCUAAGCUUCUGAAUUCAGCCUCAACUGAACUUCUGGAAACAAUAGCUUGUUUCUUUGACUUCCAGCAUAUAACUGACUUCCCAAUUUUUACAAAGUAACCAGUCACUGAUCUCCGGGUUUGAGGACAUGAUGCCCAAUCUGCAUCACAGUAGGCACUCACCUGAUCACUUGGUUCACUAGAUAGUAACACACCCUGACCAGGUUGAUUUUUAACAUAUCUCACAACUCUAAUUGCAGCAUCCAUGUGAGACUUCUUUGGCUCUUGUAGAAACUGACUUAGUGUCUGUACACUAAAUGCAAUAUCAGGUCUAGUCAUGGUUAAGUAUAGUAACUUGCCAAUCAGUCUUUGAUAUACACCUUGAUCUGCAGGAGGAUCAUCAGUAGGUUGUAGCUGUUUGUAUUGAUCAUCAAAUUGUUUUGAGGUCAGUUUGGCAUUGUAGUCCAUAGGAGUAACCACUGGUUUAGCUGCUGUCAAUCCCAACUCUGAUAGUAACUCUAGAGUGUAUUUCCUCUGGUGCAUUAGUAUCCCUUCGCUUGACCUUGCAAAUUCUAUACCAAGGAAGAACCUUAACUCACCUAGAUCCUUCAUUUUGAAGCUUUGUUGUAGCAUAACUUUUGCAUCUUCUAUCAGUUUCAAGCUAUCACCAGUGAUUAGCAUAUCAUCAACAUACACAAGUACCAAAGUGAUUCCUUCUUGUGUCCUUCUUAUAUACAGAGAUGGAUCAUAUUGACUUUGAACAAACUGAGACCUUAGUAAGACUUCUGAUAGCUUCGUGUUCCAUUGUCUAGGUGCUUGCUUUAAGCCAUAUAGGGAUUUGGUCAGUCUGCACACUGAAUUCUCCCCCUGACUGGCAAAUCCCUGAGGCAACUCCAUGUAUACUUCAUCAGUGAGGUCACCAUUUAGAAAUGCAUUGUAGACAUCCAUCUGAUGAACAAACCAAUUCUUCUUUGCAGCAGUAGCAAGAAUAGUUCUUAUUGUUUUCAUCUUCACAACUGGUGAGAAGGUUUCUUUGUAAUCAAUCCCUUCUCUUUGUCCAUAACCCUUUGCUACAAGUCUACUUUAAAUCUUUCCACUUCACCUGAAGCCUUAUACUUCAUCUUAUAUAUCCACCUGCAACCAAUGGCUUUUUUACCUUUAGGCAAGGGAACAACCUCCCAAGUGUGGUUGGAAUUUAAGGCCUCUAUUUCAGUCUUCAUUGCAUCUAUCCAUCUAGGAUUUUUGCAGGCCUCAGAGUAGCUUGUAGGCUCAGUAACAGAUAAGGUUUUCACCACAAAACUCUUAUAGGACUGAGAUAGUUUAUCAUAUGAUACAUGAUUAGCAAGAGCAUAGCGUACCUUCUUUGUAUUCUUAGAGACAAAAUCAUUCAUCCAUGCUGGUGACUUCCUUUCUCUAGUUGAUUUCCUUUGAUCUUGAGCUGCAGAUGGUUGAGUUGCAGGCUGUGUAGUAUUAGGAACCCGUUGUAGUUGAUGUUCUUGCCGAGUAACCUCUUGAUGUUUGCUUGAUCUUCUUUGAUAAACCUUGGUUAUGGUCUGUCUAGUAGUAGGUACAUGAGGCUGUAGGUAUUCUUAAUGGUUCACAAUGUUCGGAGAGACAUUUAUAGGAGCCUGCAAGGGUGUCAUAACAUCACUUGCUGCUGAAUAUUGAUCUUCUAAUGGAAAUAAUGGAAACACAUGAUAGGGAAUCUGAUCAUCAGCUGCUUCAAGCUUGAAAGGAAACACAUCUCCCUGAAAGACACAUCCCUGCUAACAAAGAAAACAGUAGUAGAUAUGUCAUAUAAGACAUAUCCCUUCUUAGUACUAGAAUAUCCCAUCAACACAGCUGCUCUUGAUCUUGGCAUGAGCUUGUCAGACUCAUUUUGCACCUUAGCAUAACAGAGACAACCUAUUACUCUUAGGUGCUCACAAGAUGGUUUAGUACCAUAUAAUUUCUCAUAUGGAGUAUAAUAAUCAAUACUUGAACUAGGUAACCUGUUUAUGAGAUACACAGCAGCUAAAACACAAUAUCCCCAAAACUUAACAAGUAUUGUUGCUUGAAACCUCAAUGCUCUUGUGACUUCUAGGAUGUGUCUGUGCUUUCUUUCAGCCAUACCAUUCUGUUGGGGUGAAUAAGAACAUGAGGUGUGGUGUUGCAAAUAAACUACUGCAUAAUGAGUUCACAAACUCAGUUCCAUUGUCAGUUCUAAUUACUUUCACAGUUUUGCCAAACUGUGUCUUAACAUACUCAAGAAAUUGUUGUAUCUGCACAUACACAUCUGACUUGAGUUUCAAUAAGAACAACCAAGUAAAACUUGAACAAUCAUCAACCACUGUUAAGAAGAAUUUAUUACCAUUCAUAGUAGGAAUACUAUAAGGUCCCCAUAGAUCCAUAUGUAUUAGAUCAAAACAUGCAGACUGAGUAUUACUUGUAGGAAAAGGACGUCUGGUUUGCUUGGCACAAGGGCAGAUAGUACAUUUCUUUACUCUAUCUUCUACUACAUGAAAUUUAGUAGGUAGCAACUUUAAAAGUAUAUUAGAGGAGGCAUGUCGUAAUCUUCUAUGCCACAGAUCAACCUCAACUUGGGCUUUACUUUCAUCAGCUUUAGUAGAGACUUUUGUUGCUGCUGCAACCUUCCUUUCUUGAGUAUUCACUAAGAGAUACAGACCUCCAUCAAGCUUACCAAUCCCCUCACCUUUCCAAUACAAAGAUCCUGGAAAACACAAAAAUCAGGAAAGAAGUUCACUGAACAUUUCCAUUCCUUGGUCAAUUGUGAUACUGAAAGCAAGCUGCAUGUAAACUGAGGAAUAUGAUACACAUUUGUUAUACUAUUUUCGGCAGACACAUAACUAGAUCCCACAUGUGUAACUUCAGUCAGAUCACCAUUAGGUAAAUAUACUCUUCUUGGCUUAUCUAGUUUUGUUAUGGACUCAUUCACUAGUAGGUCUAACUUUCCAACCAUGUGAUUUGUGGCACCAGUGUCAAUUAUCCAAUUUCUUGACUCAUAUGAAGCUAGAAAUACACUAAUACCUGCAUUUGCAGCAUUUGUUGUCUCAGUAGAAGUGCUAGCACCACUAUUUUUGUUGAUCAUCUACAGGAUUUGAUCAUAUUGUUCCUUAGUAAAGAUUGUUGUUCCCAUCUAACCUAGUUGAUCCAACUACAUUUCAGACUCUUCUUAAUGGCAUCCAUCAUUGAACCAGUUACUUUGGAUAGACCUUGAAUGUGAACCUUGCCUUGUAGUCAUUUCUGUAGUAUCUUGAGAAUCACUAGUCACCUUGUAUGCUGCAUUAGCUCCUUCGGACCUGAACCUCUUUUUGAACUUGUGAUCUUGAGGAUAUCCAACUAACUUCCAACAAUUNNNNNNNNNNNNNNNNNNNNNNNNNNNNNNNNNNNNNNNNNNNNNNNNNNNNNNNNNNNNNNNNNNNNNNNNNNNNNNNNNAUUUCUUGUAAACAUGGCUAAGUCAAGACUUCUACCAAUGCCUGCAGGACCAGAUCCUAGCACACCUGCAUUAGUAGCUAUAGAUUUUUGCCUUUCAUCACUCAUUAUCAUGGCAUAUGCCUGAUUGACAGUAGGCAUAGGAGCCAUAAGUAGUAUCUGACUUCUAGCCUGUGUAUUUGUUUCAUUUAGUCCCAUGAGGAACAGAAACAACUUCAGUUUUUGUAGAUGUAGAACAAACUCCUUGGACUUUUCACAAUCACAACCAGGAGCAGGCACAAGUGCCUCAAAUUCUUCCCAUAGAUCCUUCAGUUUUGAGAAAUAGCAGGACAUAGAAGCUGCUCCUUGAGAUAGUGUUGCAAUUUCCUUGUGCAGAUUGAAAGUUCUAGCACCAUCUACUUUGUUGAAUCUUUCAAGCAACUCAUUCCACACAACACUUGCAACUGAUGCAUACAUGAUUCCACCUAAUAACUCUUUAGACACAGAGUUCAUAAUCCCUCAUAACACAAUACUCUUUCCCAGUGGUUUCCCAGAACAGAAGAAAACUUUUCUUUUGUGCAAGAACCAUCAACAAGUCCUAAUUUAUUCCUUCCUAACAGAGCUACACGCAUAGACCUAAACCAGAUAGAGAAAUUUUCCACACCUGUCAAUUGGAAGGAGAUGAUUUGUGUUCCACUAACAUCUGAGGGACUGAGAAAAAGAGGAUGAUUGUAAUCCAUUGCAGUAACUGCUCCUGCACUGCUGGUUGAUCCACCACUCAUUUCGACACCAUUUUCCAUUACUUGAACCUUCUAAGGUAGCUAGUUUUGAUCUAGCCAACCUGUCUCUGAUACUAUGUAAUUAUACAAGAUAGCAGUAAGCUUCUUGUUAAUUCAUCAAUGAAGGAAGUACAGAGUUUGAUAGUGUUUGUAGAAGAAAGGAAGGAAGAGAACUGAGAGAGAAAGAAGAUGAGAGAGAAGAGUAACUGUCUGUAUUCAUUGUGCUUCAAUGUGUAUAGUCAUAUACAUUUAUAGGCUAGAGAUUAGGCUAACUAACUAACUACCCAUUAGCACUAGUGUAACUACCUGAAAACAGUUAUAACAGAAAAACAACUAGUCUAUUAUUGCUUCUUCUAGAAUCUUCCACACUUGAGACCUCUUUCUUUUGUAUUCAACAUGCACACAGAAGACGCAUAGCAUGCUAAGUCAAAUAUUAAUGGUUUUUUUAGAAAAAGUCAUGCUAAGUCAAAGAUCAAUGUCAUAAAUGAAUGAGAGUUACGAAAAGAAAAAAUAUGAUAACUAAAAUUAUUUGAGGUUUUUUUUUAAUAACCGUGGUGUCUGGGCAAACUUUAGUGCACCUCGACUAAAUCCAUCGGAUACCUUCCACCUUCCACCAUGCAUAGCAAUAAAGUUCCCACUGAUCAUGGGUUGUAAAAUCAUAUAAAGAUUUUAAAAUUUAUACAAUUUCUAAGCUUGAACACAUGACACAACCAUAACAACAACAAAGUUGAAAGAUGACAAAUGUAGUUGGACAUCAAAUAGGAUUUUCCUAUAUUUUUCCACAUCUUUGUAAUUUUCGCUACCACUCACAUAUUCCUCGAAAUUACCUUGAGUUAAAAAUAUAAUUUCAGAAACCUGUGAAGAAAAUAUCGGCACGACUUCUAAAAAGUGAGGUCGCCUCACUCCUCACAACUGUUACCAUUUUCCCUGUCCUCCCCCAACCGCGUUGACUAAGGAAAACAGAGAAUUAUACUGCCGCUUAACUUAGACCUCCUUAAUUUCCCAAAGUUUUGAAUGCACAUUCCUGUUUACUAAUCUUUUAAUUCUUUUUCUUGAAGCCUGGGCAGGUGGGUGGAUUCAAGUUAAUUAUAAAAGACGAGCCAAUAAAAUAGUUGUUAGGAGGUUUGGCACAUCAGAUAUCAGUGCAUGCAAAUAUUGGUGGUAAUUUGGUUGGUUGGGGGUGGGCGUGGGGGGUGGGGGGGAUAUCACUCUACAGGCAUAAGAAAGAACCUGGAUAAGAGGAUCAUUGCAAGCGCUAUCUACCAGCCUGCCCCUUGCUAGUAAACAAAGUAAGUUAACCUUAUGCACAAGCUCAGCCAAUUCCUGUAAUAUAAGGGGGAAAAGUAUAACUCAUUCACAUCCAAAAAGGGACUAAAUUAUAGAUGGUAUUAAUAUAUUUUCGUAUGACAUUCAAACCACCUUUUCUUCAGCAGUUGCUCGGCGUACUGUCUUCUGUUUACUAGGACUAGGAUCAGGCGGGGCAUCAAACUCAACAGUCACACCAUUGAUUGUAUCUUCCUUAACAAUGCUUUCAGACUUCAAAGUAUGAACUGACCCAUCUUCCCAAUCAACACCAUCAAGUUCAUCUUCCCUCUCAAUAUUCUGACACAGAACAUCUGUACUUCCAUUUUCCACUUCCGAUGGCACGUUUUGUAACACAUCUCUAGUGCAGCAUUUAGCAUCUAAUGUAGUCCUUACAACUGUAGUACCAGUAAGCUGCUUACCAGUAAGCUGCUUCUCUGCCUCCCUCGAUACAUUCUCUGGCUAAACAUACAAAACACAAUACAAAUUAAGAAAUCCAUUAUUCAAAUGCAGUUCGUGUCUAAAACAUCUUCCGAAACACAUGGAAACCACAAAUGAUUAUUCAGCAAUGUGAAACAAAGAGAUACUUCUUGCUGAAGGAAAUGUUUCACUCGAUACAUUGCAUAACUGAAGCGAUAGAGCAAGAAAGAAAACUAACCUUGCCCGUGGUAUCCUGCUUGCACAGGUAACUAUCAUCUGUUUUCAGACCCCGAGAACGACGUGACUUGUUGACUCGUUUCAAAAGUUUCCCCACUGCACCACGAGAUAUGUUUGCAAGAGUUUCUGAAAUCAAGCAUGUAAAUCUUAACGUAGUUCUAACAUUCAAGUACUCAAAUCUCUACUACUAUUGUCAAUGCAUAUUAAACUUCAUAUCAAGAUUUUAAAAGAAAAUAUAUUAAUAAGGAACGAUUGCAAACCACUAGCUUCGUCUUUGCAGUCACUUGCGUUCUCCAUCUCACUAUAGCGUUUCAAAGAGUCUUCAUUUGCUGUCCAAAAUGGAACACAUAAGUUAACCAGACCUCAAUGUGCUCCGCUAAUGAAAUUAACAAACUAGCACAGAACACAAGUCCAUCUGAAACAAUCAUCAAAGAUUGAAUUUUUAUGCAUUCUUGGUUAUGUUUUGCUGUGGUUAAACAGUUGCUAAACUGAAAAUAGCAAACAAAUGCCAAAUAAUCUGAUAAAAGGGUAGUUAAAUAUGACAUACAAUCAAAUGAAAAUGAGGAAUUUUUAUGCAUUCUCGAUUUGCAUUUUUUUUCUUUUAGGGGUGGGAGGUCGGGGGGGGGGGUUGUUAAUUAGUGGGUUAAGGAGUUAGAAAAAAUACCAUUUGAUUGAUUUUGUUGUUUUGCCUGAUUUCUGGUUCGCAUUUUUUGCUGAGGAAAACAAGAAGAAGAAGAAGAAGAAAGGCGCCAGUUGCUUUUUACGGUUGAAACCUAUUACUAUUCACAAAACCCCGGGAAGGAAGAAGAACACAAGUGUGCUUCCUUUUUUAUUUUAUCUUUCUUUUUUUUUUCAUUCGGUGCCCGCCCGACUAAUUUAGAUUGCGCCCGCGUUGCAGGUUCAUUAAAGUGCCAGUGCUCAGAUCGCGCAUUGCAGGCUCAUUAAAGCGUCAGCGCUCCCAACAGAGUCAAACUCUUGAUCUGUAAUUAAGGAUGGAGCAAUCCCAUCUACUAACUCUUUGAAACCUAUUAUAUUCCCGAAUUCUCGAGAAGGAGUAGAAUUCAGCUUUCUUUUUAAUUUUUCCCUUUUUAGUUAGUCAUAAAUAGAUAAUAUACGAUUUAAUUUGACUUCGGCUGAUAUGUAUAUUAUCUAAUUUUAAAUAUGCACAAAUAAACACUUAAAAUUGUAUAAAACUGAAUAAAUAUAUAAAUUAUCAGAUAAGACAUCACAUAGGACGUAUAUAUAUUUUUACUUGUUAAACUUUAUAUAUACAAAAGAUUCAAAAAAAAAUUAUUUUUCACUCAUUGUCUUAUCCGCAUUGGAGUACUAAUCCAAAUUCGCGUCAAGUAGAGCCUUAUUCGGAGAUAACAUUUUUUAUCAAAGAUUUUUUCAUACUAGGCUCAAACUCAAGAUAUCUUGAAGAGAAUAGCAGUCUCAUCCAUGGUUAAAAGAUCAAGUUAAAACAUUUAUUCUGUCGUUUAAGUAUCUAAGUACUUUUUCUUAAAAUAGUUUUAAUUGAUAUCCAAAUAUAUGUAAUUUAGAUAAAAUUAUUUCUUUUCGGUUUUCCUUUUUACUAGUUAUUACAAGUUCUUUCGAAAAUGAUCCUUUUUAUUUUUUCAUAUAACAAAAAAAAUCCCUUAAAUAUACACUUAACAAUUUUGAUGUUUUAAAUUUAUCAAAUAUUAACACUUUUAGCCGGAAUAAUUAAAUUUAGCCAAAGGGCUAUUUUGAACACCCCCUUCAAAUAUAAGGACCAUUUUUGCCAUUUUCUCUUCCUUUUUCUCUUAAACCUUAACAUAACACUAGUUUUUCUCUCUUAAAUCUUUAUAAUUCUAAUAUUCAGCGAAAAAUUGCAGAUUUGUGCUUUAAUUUCCUAUUUCUACUUAUAUUGGUAAGAUUUUAUUAUUUCUUAAUUCAUGUCUAGUGUUAUUUAAUGAUUUUGUUUUUGUUGGUUUUUGUAUUUUUUGUUUGAUUUGCUCAUUUGUUUAUAUCAUGUACUAUAAAAUAGAUCCAAAAUACUCGCUGCAGUGUUUUUUUUCCAAGUGUUUGAUAAAAUGUUCAUGUGAGUUGAAUAAGUGAAAUCAUAGCAUGUUAGCAUAUAUGCAAGUUUGUAUACCAUGCAAAUGUUUGAUAAUAUGCCUCAAUGAAUGAAUUGUGACAAAGUGACUAGUUAUCAUGCUUUCAAGAUUGUGCUAUGUUUUACUUUCAAUGCUAUCGAGUCCUGGGGGUUCCUAUGUUGUUUUACUUUCAAUGCUAGCGAGUCCUGGGGGUUCCUAUGUUAGCAGGACAUUUCGUGCAAGAACUAGGUUUGAGUUAGUGCACUAACUAGGUUGUUUUUAAGUCAAAUGAUAUCAACUUUGACCAACGUUUUGAAAUGUAUAUGAUAAAUAUUGUAACUUAUAGUACUUUCUGUAUAGUUUUUGAAUGUUGUAAUUUUAGUUUCACACUAUAGAAUUAAUCUAAUGUAAUUUAGCUUUAAAAAUUAGUCAAAUUGACUCUCGAAAAGCAAAAUAUGGCAGUUAUUUUAGAACUGAGGGAGUAAUUCUCUCCAUUGAUCUACGAGUUUUUGUUUAAUGUAUAGUAUUAUUCUUGUUUCUUAUUUUUCGUUUCUGCUAAUAUUUGUUAUUUCGUGUAGUCUUAUUAUAGUAGUAUUUUCUUGUAGGAUUGUGCUGCUGUUAUCUGUUGUUUUUAGUAUAGUUUGUUGAUUCUUUUAGAGAUAAGCAUCCAGUACCCCCGUCCCCCGCCCCCGAACUAUGGCCAAAGUUGUUACGAUACACUCCAACUUCAUAGGGGUCCUAUUACUACUGAACUCGAUUUUAGCAUAUUCUUGUAACCCUUUUGGGCUGGCGUGGAACCUUUAUUACAUAAAACGAGGCCAAUGUCAAAGUGUCAUGUCAGCUAAAAGACAAAAAUACUCUAAAAUUUAGUUUAGGGGUAAUAGGACCGUGUGAAGUUGGAGUGUAUCAUAGCAAAUUUGAUUAUCGUUCAACUAGAUGUUUUACUCUAGUAUUAUUCUUGUUUCUUGUUUUUCGAUUUUUGCUACUAUUUAUCGUUUCGUGUAGUUUGAUUAUAGUGGAGUAGUAUUUUAUUGUAGUAUUGUUCUGCUAUUAUCUGAUGUUUUAAGUAUAGUCUGUUGUUUCUUUUAUUUCUACUACUUCUUAUGUAGACUAUUUUUAUCUUGAAGCCGAGGGUCUGUCGAAAACAUAUUACACUGAAUAUCUUCUUGUUGUCGUUGUUGUUGUCGGAUACAAUGCACAUUCGUUUUUGUUCACUUUGAACCUUUUCUUUCAAUAUGUUUUGGUGUGAUUCAAUUACUGCUUUUGUAUAUAUCAUUUGUUUUGUCCCCUCUGUAUCCUUUGUAUAUGUAUCUUCUAUUUUCUUUUGCUGAAGUAUUUCUGUUUUAGGUAGUUUUGUAUCAUAGCUAUGGGAAGUAGAUUAGGAAGAAGAGUUGUAAACUUUGCGAAUCUUCCGAUUAAACUCCUCAUGCCUUCCUCUUUCUCCAACAUCACCGAGAUCGCCCUCAAAACCAUUCCCGCUGCUUCCAAGGUAACAUAUCUUAAUAGUAUUUUGUAUACCUAGUAUUAGAGUGAAAGUUCAGAACACAUCUAAAGUAUUCCGAUUUUUCAUGUUUCAUACCUGAACUAUCACAUGUGUGAGUAUCCUACAUGAACUAUCAUCAGCUUAGGCGGAGCCGUGCCUAGUAAUAGGGGGGUCGUCCGACCCCCUUCGAUGGAAAAUUAUGUUAUUAAUAUAUGAUUAAAAUGAUUUUUAUGUAUAUAUUGUAGAUGUUGAAUCCCCUUCGGUUAGUUUUUCUUCAGAUUUUGAGGGGGAAUCCUAGCUCCGCUUCUGAUCGUCAGCUAUUUAUCAAAAACACACAUCACUAUCAAUUGUUCACUUUUAUACAUCGUUCAGGCUGGAAAAGUAGUGAGCGAUUGAUAGUUGAGGUGUGUUGUGUUAAAUAGUUGGCGAUUGUUCAAGCAGGUAACUCACACACUCGAUAGUUCAUAUAUGAAACUAAAAAACUGGAAUACAUUAGGUGUGAUUUUGACCAUUAACUCUUAGUAGGGUGAGUUAUAUGAAUCAUGUGGUAUAUUUAAUAAUUGGGAUACGAAAUUUAGAUUUAAAUAUUUCUUGAAUUUUUAUGUAUAGAUUGAGAUAAAGAGGGUUUUGGAGUCUCUCUAUGGCUUUGAAGUUGAAAAGGUCCAAACUCUUAACAUGGAUGGAAAGAAGAAGAAGAGAGGUGGGCUGUUAAUUGCUAAACCAGACUACAAAAAAGCUUAUGUUACUCUUAAGAAUCCAUUGUCUAUAUCGCCCGACCUUUUCCCUAUACGAGUGAUCCAAGAGGAAAAGAAGAAUAUGAGUAACAAAUCUAAGUCGUCUAGCAUUGUUGAGGAUGAUGAACCUAAGAAGAUGCAUUGGCUUGAGGAGAAGAAAGAUGGAAGGAAUAGGCCAGAUAUGAGAUUCGGUCGUGGCCGUUACCAUGGUGAAAAACGUUCUGAUGUUGGCCGCGACCGUGGUAGAGAUGUUGGCUCUGCAGCGGCAAAGUUCCCUUGGAGCAGUAUGAGGUCUUACACUUCUAGGUAGAUUUAUGUUUUUUGCUGCGUCUAGGUGGAUUAUCUUUCUCUUCAGAAUAAGUGAAUUUUGUAUGCUUGUAUCAUUGUCGUUAGUACAAUUACAAUGUUUUUAUCUCCGGAUGUUGCUAGUUUAAUUCCAAAAAUUUAUAUGGUGUUCUAUGGUUUUUCGUUAAGCAAAAGUGUAGCUAUUGUGCAGUACAUCUGGAUAAUUCACUUGAUUUCUCUAAAUUUUUCUUGAAUUUUGUUUUUUCACUUCUUUAAUGGAUUCUCUGAUGAGAAGGAAGUUUGUUAUAGAGUUCUACCAAAAGUGAUAGAGUUGCCGCGAGCCCUUAUUACUGCCAAGAGCUCUUUGUAUUCAGGCCGGUCCUAGGCCACUUGGAACCUCAAUGACCACGCUCUUCAUUUGAUAUAUGUGUGAACCACUGGAAGCAAGAUUGUCUGCAAUGAAUUUGAUUUCCCUUGUGUAACUACUGAUGGAAUGAGCAUCUCGUUUGAGAUUUGCAAGAGUGUGUCGCAAACUGAAAAUUCUGGCGUGACAUGCCUGUUUUGCAGAUGAAGCAUGUGCAAUGAGAGGAACAAUUGUUGCAAGGCUAACUUGUCGUCGCAGCCAUAGUUUGAAAUGUGAAAACAAACAUGCAUGCCUAGUGAUACAAGCGUCUAUUGGUAGCGGCUGAUCCCAUGAAGUCACCAAGGGCAGUCAGUCACUGCGUUCACUUAAGUUCUCGUAAGCAAUGAUAAAGGAAGAGGGAGCAUUUGCAUCAACCUAAGCGUUGGCCGGAGGCAUCCUUCUUCCCAUGAACCACAUUAGGUGUGAUGUAUUUGGGAAAACUCAGAUGAAUAUUUUUCAGAAUAAUGGUAUUCUUUUGUUCAAUAAAAUCCUAUGAAGUUGAGACUCUGUAAGAAUAUGACUUGAUUUUAUGAUGUUAUGGUUUGAUAUCAACUCCUGAGCUAUAUAUUUAACAUCUUGUUCAACUUAGAAAAUAACUUCUAAAACAUUAUGUAUCACUGAGUUACGUCAGUAAAAAUACGUUAAGUUUGACCUUGUCAAUAUCACACUUCAGUCAAAAAUGUUCUUAAGUUUGAUUUUGCCAAGACAACACUUCGUUAAAAAAAAAAUUUGAAGUUGGCCUUGACAAUCUAGACCAAACUUCAGGCAAAAAUGUUCGAUCGUUGAUCUUGAUAAGGCCACACUUCAAGCAAAAACACUCGAAGUUAGCCGGGCAAACUUAAUACACAAAUUUUUAUAAACUAGUUUAGGUGUAGCGUUCAAACAUUACACUAAAUAGGAUAUUUAUUUAAAUAAUAAAGAUGAAUAUGAUAAUUAAAUCUAAUAACUUUUGAAUGUGUAAAGAUGGAGAAUUUAUUUAUUAAACCUAAUCUUUAUUAAAAAUAUUUUUAAAAUUCGUUCGACAUUUAUCUAACAUCUGUAAAUUACAAAAAAACAAUACAAUGAUCGAGACAUCAAAAUAAUACAAUUAAAUCUAAUCUUUAGACUCAAAAAUUUUCUCAAAGUCGUCCGACACUUAUCUACCACCAGUAAAUAAUAGCAAAAUAAUACGAUAAUAAAGAUAUGAAAAUAAUACAACUAAACCUAACCUUUAUAUGAAAAAAAUCUUCAAAAACGACCAACAUUUAUUUAUCACCUGUAAACAUCAACAAAAUAAUACAUAAAAGUGAUAUCAAAACAAUACAAUUAAACUUAAAUUUUACACUCAAAAAUUUCUCAAAAUCGAUUGAGAUUCAUUUAGGAAAUGUAAACUACCACAAAAUAACAAACUAAUUGAGAUAUUAUGAUAAUAUAAUUAAACCUAACCUUUAACCCAAAAAUUUUUUUAAAGUUGAUCCAUCUAGACAUGCAAUCGAAUCAAGUUAGAUGGGCAUCAAUUAUAUAAUUAAGAUAACAUAUCACAACAGAACAUAAGAGAGUAGAGGUGAAAAUCUCAAAAUUACAAUACUUUUUAUAGAAGUGAAGGAAUCAAAAAUUUAAAAAGGACACUAGUUAAUAUUUUAGAAUUUUUUUUUAAUUAUGUUUUGGAAAAGCCAAGUUUAAUACAAAUAUACCUUUUAUUUUUUUCUAUUUCGAAGAAGUCACAAAUAUAAAAAAAUACCAAUAUUUUUUAAGAAAAAGUAAACCAACCCUUUAUUUUUGGAAAAUUACGUAAACCAAAGCAAAAAAUUGCUCCAUUUAUCUUUUUAAUAUAUUUAUUAUAAUCAUUGUUUUAAAAUUUUUUCUUUUAAAAGUAUAUUAGAAAAAAAAUAUUAAUUAAUUCUCUUAUCAUAUAUUUUAGGAGUCCCAUAUAUUUUAGGUCUUUAUUUUUGGAAAAUUGACGUAAACAAAAACAAAAUUUUUCUCCAUUUAUUUUUUAAUAUAUUUAUUAUAAUCAAUGUUUUUAAAAAUUUUCUAUUAAAAGAAGGAAAGUAUUAAUUAAUUCUCCUACCAUAUAUUUUAGGAGUCACAUAUAUUUUAGAAAGUCUAGUCAAUAUAUUAAAAAAUAAUUAAAUAAUAAAUUAAAAAAAUAGUGAAAAGAUAGUGUUGUCUAAAGAAAAGUCUUUUAAUGAAUGACAAAAAGUUCAAAUCACUUUUUUAAGGGUUCACACUUUUAAUAUAUUAUUAUUAUAGAUAUAGAUAUAGAUUUAAUCUCAUAUAUCUAAAAUAAAAUCAGUUGGAUCAUAUUUACAAAGUGGUUACUCAAGCCGAAAGUCUCCUAGUUAUAACCUCUCUACCUCUUCAUGAUAGUGGUAUAGUCAAAGUACACUUUACCCUCCCUAGACCUCAAUCCUGAAACUAUACUAGCUUAGUUGUGUUGUUGUUGUCCUCAUAUUUACAAAACAAAUUCAACUUGACUACAACUUAAAGUGACCGCAUUACCUCUACUUCGCCCAAAAAGGUAAAGUUGGCCCUUUCAAAAUUCUCAACUCCCUUUGUAGUGGACCUAUAAACGAACCUUAUGGAGGCCCAAAAUACACUUUUCUCUACAGGAAGUCGUCCUCCUUAGACCCUAUUUUUGAAACUAUAUUAGAUUUGUUGUCGUUGUUGUUGUUCUCAUAUUUACAAAACAAAUUCAACUUCGACUACAACUUAAACCGCGGUCCCAACUUCACCCAGAGAAAAAACAAUUGGGCCUCCAAAGUUGUCAACAUUCUUUGUAGUGGGCCUUUAUGAAGCCUUGGGCCUAUACAUGUAGGCCCAAAAUACACUUUCAUAUACAAGAAGUCGUCGGUCGAGUCGUUGACCCCAAGUCCAGCUCCUAUAUAAACACCUCUACUCUCUCUCUCUCUCAAAAAGAAAAACACAAAUAGAUUUUCUUCUCAAACCCUAAACCAACUUUUUUUUUUUUCCUCCCUCAAACAUCAAAAUCUUCGCUUAAAUCUCCAUAAUUACUCCUUCUACAACUGUAUUUCUCCACAUAUUCGGCGAAAAAUUGCAGAUUUGAUUGUUCGUUGCGUGUUUCUACACAUAUAUUGGUGAGAUUUUUCGCCUUUUUUUUUGUUUUUAGUAUCGCUUUUAUCUAGAAGCUGCGGAAUGCUCAUAUUUUAGCUUUAUUAAAUGGUUUUUUUAUUUUGUUUUUUGAAUUUUUUUGUUUGAUUUGAUGCGUUAGCGUUAUUCAAUGAGUUGUUCUGUUUUUUGAAUUGUUUGUUUGAUUUGUUCAUCUGUUUGUAUAAUGUGUAAAAGUUCAUGCUUUAACUUUAUUGGAUGAUUUUUUAUUUUGCUGAUUUUUGAAUUGUUCGUUUGAUUUGUUCAUCUGCUUGGAUAAUGUGUAAAAUAGAUUGUGUUAUGUAGUUAUGCAUAUAUUGCUUAUAGUUUUUUGCUAUUGAAGCUGAGGAAUGUUCAUGUUUUAGCUUAGUCAAUGAGUUUUGGAUUUUUUGUUUGAGUUUUUCAUCUGUUGGUAUCAUGUGUAAUGUUGAUUCUAUUAAUUAUGUAUAUUUUUAUUAUGAAAGCAUGAUGCUUUUGUAUUACUUCAUGCGUUAUCACAGCAAAAAAAAUUGUGUCUGUUUGUUGUGUAUUGUUAAAUUUAUUGAUAAAUUGAUUUUAAUUGUUUUUUGCUAUUGAAGCUGUGGAAAAUUCAUGUUUUAGGGUUACUCAAUCACCUUUGUCUGUGCUGUUUUUGGAUUGUUUGUUUGCUUUGUUGAUCUGUUUGUAUCAUGUCUGAAAUAGUCUGGUGAUUUUCUUAAUGAAUUAUGAAAACACGAUGCUUUUUGUAUCGUGCGUUAGUGCCAAAAAAUAUGAUUUUUUUUUUAAACAAUGCUUUGGGUGUACUUUGAUCUGAGUAGUUUUGCUUGUUUGUUUAUUUGCUCUAUGUGUUUGUUCAAAUUUUAUGUGGAAUUAUUCUGAAAACAUAAUGGUUCUGUUUUGACUAUAACCUUUGUUCCAUUGAUGAUCAUGUUUUUGUUUUCUAUCAAAUAGUUGAUUAUACAAUUUAUUCUUUUGUGUCCACUUAUAAUCUUUUCUUUCAAUAUUUUAUAUAUUUUGGUGUGAUUUCAUUAUUGCUUUUCUAUCUCUGUAUCAUUUGUACAUAAAUAUAUAUUAUAAACAAAAUUUAUGUACAAAUGAUACAGAGAUACAAAAGAAGAUGUAUAUUCCAGGAAGUUUGUAUCAUUUACGUGUGUAUGUAUGAGUUCCAGUUUUUUUUCUUUUUCUUUUUAAAUAUGGUUGUGUGAAUCGUGGAGGGUGUGGACUAGUUAUUUGCAUUAGAUUAUUUUUCUUGUGUUUUGGUUAUUGAAAUUGCUAUUUUAGCUAUAAAGAUCCUGUUAUAGUGACACAGCCAUAUGUCUAUUUGCUACGUCUUUCUUCAGGCUUUAUAUCCAUGUUUAUUUAGCUGUUCCCUUGAGCUCUGUGUGAUAUUUAUGCUGUCUAAUAGUUGGAACAUUUUCUAGUUUAAAUGUCAUUGUAAGUUUCAACCCUUAGUUUGUUUCUGCUUAAUUUGUAUUUUUACUGGUCAUUUUCUUGCUAAUUGUUUUGUUAAACACGAUUUUAGCAAUCAUUGUUAAUGUGAUUUAUUUCUCUCUUACAGAUUAGCUUUAGCUGAAGUUCCCCGUUCUGCUUACAUCAUGGCUUCGCUGGAUAUGUCCCUGGAGGAUAUGAUAAAAAGUAGGAGAAAUACCGAGAGGGGUGGUAGGGGUCAAGGCAGGGCCCGACGUGGAAGAGGGGCAGGGGGAUCAUUUAGAGGUGGAUCAUUUAGAGGUGGAAGAACAACAGGAGCUCCUCGUAGAGGGCCACUUGGCGUUAAUGCGCGGCCAUCAGCCUACACAAUUGCCAAGGCAAGCUCAAAACUAUUGGAAAUCUUAUGAUUUCAUAGAAACAUUGAUAUGCUUUAUGAACCCAACUGAAGGUUCUCUGCUUUUGUUUAGUUGACAUACAAGAGACUUGAUUUUUUUGGUUCCAAGGAGAAGUCCACUUUGGUUCAGCCAUAAUAACAACUGCAGUGCAGUUGUUGAUGAUCUUUGAACUUUCUCAUUACUCGAGGAUUUCUGAUGGAUUUUGAUAUAAGUGGGAGAUUCAGGUGGCCCUGUUCAGGCAAAUCACUUCUUUGUAGCAUGCUUCUUCUUGGGGAGAUUCGUUAACUGAAAAUUUAAGAUCCCUUUCACCAUUUUAAACACCCCUAACCGCUAAGUGUCUUAGAGGGUUGAACUUUUUUAACCAUCUAUUAUCCUUAUUGUCUAGUAGCGAUUGCUCUAGUUUCACAUUAUUGGUUUAAAGAGGAGUUUGUGGCUGUCCUCAUGAAUUCUGCUUGCAUUUUGUGGAACUGCUAAGGGACAAGAUCUUCUGUUACCAUCUCAAUUCAAGGCGUUUUUGCAAAGGUGGCUUCAUUUGAACAUCAGAACUGGAGCUCUUACCUUUUUGCUUAAGUACCUGAUGUGCUGUGGGUCAAAUCCUUUAUCUCCCAUCUACACUUAAUUCUGCAUCGUUGACUUCUCUUUUGCUAUUUAGAUUGCAUUUUUUGAGCAAUUCAACUUAACUGGAAACUACUGCUAGUGCGAUGGAACUGUGAUGAAUUGAUCUACUGUCGAAGAAUGGUGAAUUUAUCUUAUUAUUUGGUAGCAUGCUGACAUUUUACUUUCAAAUCUGUUAAUCUUUCCGGCAUGCUUGCUUCAGACAUUCCGCAGAACCAAGAAUUUGCCGUGGCAGAAUGGUUUGUUUGAAGAUAGCCUUAGAGCUGCAGGAUUGUCAUCAGUGUUGGAGAGUGGCACAAAGUUAUAUGUUUCCAAUUUGGACACUGGAGUGACUAAUGAAGAUAUAAGGGUACACAUUGAGCUUGUCUUUUCACACUGUACACUCCUUUGCAAUAGAUAUCUUUGAAGAUUUCUAAAAGCCAGAGUUGUAACACAGGAACUCUUUACGGAGAUUGGAGAACUAGUACGAUUUGCAAUCCACUUUGACAAAAAUGGACGUCCAAGUGUAAGUUAUUCUGCCCUUCAGUGUUAUAAUGUUUUCAAGAUCUUUUUACUUGCUAAGUUGCUAUAUGUAUAUUAAUACAAAUGAAUCUUGUUAUUUGCUACUUAAAGAUGACAACACUAUAAGAAGUCGUUUAUGUUAUUGUUAUUUAUCUAGAAAAAAGAAAUAUGAUUGAAUUAUAACAAGAUGAGAGGAGAAUGAAAAGGAAGAAUAUCACGAGCAGUUCUCUGCUUCUGGUCAAAGAAAGUUAAGUUGGCUUGGCAUGGCUGAGUAAGGCAUAGAAGAAUAGUUCUCACUUUAAGAUGUCAAUUUCAAACCUUGCGCCACAUUCUCUCCGGAUUUGGUUGGAAAAAAAAAUUGAUUUCAAAUUGAUAAAAUAGAAGACUUUUAACUAAUAGCUCUGCCUGUGUAAAUUUUAUGAACUUUUUUAGCUUUUGUUAUUUGUUCUAUGACUUCCUGUUGUGGAUUAAUUGAAUAUAUGAAUUACUUAGUUACAUACAGAAUAAAAUAGGCAUUAUAUCAAUAGAAUCACAUAUUCUCACAUUGAGAUUUGCAGCAUUUGUUGGCAGAGAUUUGUCGUAAGGUCAUUGUAGUAGUUUAUUAUACAAACGAAAUCCUUAAAGAGUGGAAAAUUCCUAGUAUCUGACUUGUAGACUUGAUAUGAAACCACCCAAGAAGAGAGUGGCAGUUCUUAGCUUUUAACCCUAUAGUAUUGUAUGAUAUCACAUUUACUAGUCAAAUUUAAGAUUCGAAGACCCAUGAGAAAUGUUUUUACUAAGUGGGGCCUUUUUAGAUGGCCAAUAAGUCCCCGUCAUUGGUUUUGAUAAAGUGCUGCACUCUACCCUUUAAUAAAUGUGUUGACAUUUACUUUUAAAGGUCGUCGAAUAAAAAAUUUAUCCUUUCCGGUAUCAUGAGGUAGUAUUCAGGGAAAAAAGAUAUUGAAGUCCAGCAUCUAGAAGCACACAUCAAUGUAGUUGAAUACAUAUGCAGAUAUGUGUAUUUGUUGCUUUGGUCUUUUGCUUAAGAGUUUAGCAAAUUUGUUCUCAAUAUUUAAACUUGACGUUGGAUUUUAUGAUGCUAGUCUGUAUGGUUUUAGUUUUGUCCUCAAUUGUAAAGUUGAUCUUACCUUAACUUUCAGGGCGCUGCUGAAGUGGUCUUUGCCAGAAGAAGUGAUGCAUUCCAAGCUCUUAAAAGAUACAACAAUGUGCAGUUGGAUGGGAAGCCUAUGAAGAUUGAAAUAGUUGGUUCCAACCCAGAAAUUCCUUUGGCAGCUCGUGUAAAUGUAGUUGGAGGAACCAACCGGAGGAGGACUGUUGUCAUGGCGUAUGUCAUCUAUUAACCAUCUCGUUCUUUGGCCUGAGAAUUUUGUUGUUUCAUGUAUGUGUAUUGUGUAUGUUUGAAUGCCUAAGUAUGUGCUCUUACAUACUCGAAGUUCUCCCUGUACAAGCACCAUAUUUCACGUAUCAACCAAGUCUCAUUCAAAGGAUGUACUUGUGGUUAUAAUAGUGUGCGUAAAUAGAUUCUAGAGUCUGCUCCAAUUGAUUUGUUCUAUAUCAGCCUUGGGUCUGAAUUUAGAUCAGUAGCAUUCAUUUCAUUCUGUCUUCCUUUGUGUAUAGGACUGGAAAGUCAUUUGGUUUGCUUGUUUUAGAUUUUGUUUAGGCGUUCUAUGUUUUUUGUUCUAUGCUUGAUGUGGGUAAUCUUGUAUUUUCGUUACCAAUGAUUUUGUGAAAUGUUUUUACUUUCCGUGAGAGUUGAAUAUGUACUUUGAUUUUCUUCAGGCCGGGUGGUCCAGCUCGUGGAAGAGGAGGCGCUAUUGGUCGUGGUUCUAGGUAAAUUUCUGCGUGGUUUACUUGGUAGACGAGAUGUGCUUGUGUUUCCAUUAUGAAUUCAAAGAUACGUGUACUUUUUAAGAAAAUAAAAACAAUAAAGGCUUUAGUUAACUAAUUGAGAUAAAUAAUAAAAUUCUUCUUCUGCACUACCAAGUAAAACUGAAAGAUAAAUACAUGUAUAAAUAUGAUAGACAUUCAGCACGAGCUGCUUUCAUGAUUGCAUGUGUGCAACUUAGAUUUCAUUUUUCUGUACAGUCAAAGGGGCCGUGGUGGUUUGAGAAAUGCACCUGGACGCGGUCGGGGUGGUGGUCGUGGUUGGGGUAGAGGUCGUGGCCGAGGUGGUAGGGGAAGUAACAGGGGUGCUGAUAAGUCUGCUGAGGAUCUUGACAAGGAGCUGGAAAACUACCAUGCCAAUGCUGACGCCAUGGAAGCUUGAUUGUGAAACUGCUCAACUCUUGUGACCCGUUGAUGUGUCUAAAGCCAAAGCAAUGAUAGUAUUUAUGUCAUUUAUAGGUGCGGCUAGCUUGCAUGGUGCUACUAUCUCUGUGGAUUCCAUUUCCAACUGAUGCUUUCCAGUUGUAGCUUCUUACAGUUUAUGAUUGUAUUGAUCAAGGGAUUGUUUGAUGAAAGCUUUUUAGUACGUAAUGAGUGAAUGGUAAAUAGAGUGGUUUGUGUUUGUCAACUUCCCUUGCAAUUGAAGUUAUGCAUGAAUUAUGUAGUUGUUCAAUUUUUUACCACCCAAUUACGAGAUAACUUGGAUUGUUGAUGCUUGGACUCUCCAAAAAUGCUAUUCCAUUCGUGUCGAAUCCUUCAAAAACACUCUACUUUUGAAGGACCUGAUUAAGCAUCGGAUGACAGUUUUGUAGAGUCCGAGCAGCAUAGGUUGAAAGAACUGUUCUACAGUUGUGUUCGAGUGCUAAUGAUUACUUAGGGGUCCUUUGGUCCUUGAUUUGGAAGUGAAUUACUAAUCAGUGAGUUACUCGGGUAUUGGGGCUAUGAAGUCACUCAGCCGUAUGCCAAACAAAGGGAAAGGUGUCAGUACGGAGUCACGUGAGAUGUGGAUAUAGAUUAGGCUAUAAGGAACGGAGCCUUAAAUUAUGGAUUGAGACUACACUAAGGAACUAGGGAGCUUGACUGAGAAGAGAAGUCAAGGAACGAAACAACUUCUCUAAUAGCUUUGUUGAAUAGGCGGGCGAAGUCUUUUUUGUCUUGUAAAUGCAUUUUUUCUAUUUAGAGAGGCGGCUUCUAGUUCUUAGGUAGAGCCGUACGAGAGAGCAACGAGCCCAUUGCAAGGGCUUAGGUCUAACACUUAAUAAUAGCCUGUCAUCAACUGAAAACAGGCAAGAUUGUGAUGAAUUGCGAUUGGUCUAAACCUUCGACUAGCGACUUAUUGUGGCCUGCAUUAGCAUAGCUGGUGUACUUCAUCUGAUAGCACUUUAAUUGCUAGGUAUAAGAUUCAGUAGAUCAGGUAUAGUGUUCUAUUAUAAAUAUUCAAUCUUGCAUAAUUAUUUUCUGCAUUAUUACUACUUCUAUAAGUAUAGGAAAGAGUAGGACAUCCUGUUUUAUAGAUGAUAAUAAAACAAAAAGUACAAAUUAUUCAAUCCCAAAUACGAAAAAUGCCCCUAAUCCUGAAAGGAAAUGAAUGAUACGAUAAAAGAAACAUGUCGUAUCAACAAAAAGUUCUGAAAAUAUUUCAUCUAUCCUAAACGGAUACAUUCUCCUCCUCCUCCUCUUUAUUUACGUCCUCUUUCUUUUCUUCUUCCUCCUCUAACUCGAAUGCAGAUGCUGGAUACGACCUUUUAAUUCCGCUAGGAAUAGCAAACGUAAUUUUAUUCGAUUCAUCAUCCUUGACCGAAAUAUCAGAAACACUAACCCAAAAAGGUGGCUCCUUUGUCUUAACACCAGUAAUAUUUUUCAGUCGACGAUUUUCAACAAAUGAAUGUAACCUCAGUAGCAUAAGUACCAGUCUUUUUUUUAUCUUUUUGAAACGAUGUUCAGUUUCUUCUUUUACUUCAACCAAACGAACCCUGAAUCAUGAUUUCGACCGACUUCCGCAAUUUCCUCCAAUGAGAGGAGUCCACGUGGCGUGUUGAUUUCUUUGAGAGGUUCGAGUGAUUUCUGCAUGCAUGUCAAUGGGUCACUGCAUAUUUCAUCAUUUUCACGUUGAUGUGACAAUGACAUGUUUUUUUUAGGGUGGGGGGUGGGGAGGGAAUGAGAAGAUGAAAGUUGAGUGUGAUGGGAAGUUGUGUGAGUGCGGGAUUUGGGAGUUGAUGUGGUGUGGGAUACUUAUAGCCGGAGGAACGAGUCAGAAUUUGAAAUUUAUGAGUUUUGAAUUUCAAAGUCGGAGUCAAGAUUUAAAAUUUUAAAAUUUAUUACGAAUUUGUGAUAAAAGUUGUUAGAGUGAGGGAUUUGGGAAUCGAUGGGGGAAAAUGGAACAAAUAUUUGAAGUUUAUGGGUUAUGAAUUUUAGAGAUGGAUUCGGGAUGGAAAUUUGUGACUUCCUACAAUGACGUCGAGUUUAUAUGUCAUUCCCUCCCUCUCGAGUUAUUUUUCAUGUUUCUGUUUUAUAUGCUCCUUAAGAAAACGUUACUUAAGAGAGUUUUUGACUAUUUAGAUAGGGGGCGUGGAAGAUUUAGACUCUACGAUAAUAGGUUAGUAGAUAGAGAUGUGUUGUCUUGUUGUUCAUUCAUACCAGCAGUCAUACUAUUGCUUUGUAGUUUCUUGUCCUUCGAUGUACCGUAAUUAUUGUAUUGUGUUAUUGUAGUUUCUGUUCUGUUGCUAUCUGUUGUUUUGGAGCAGACGCUUGAACCUCUUCAGACCGCACAUUGUGAAACUACACUGAAUAUGUUAUCGUAAUUUUUUCAUUGGAAGUCAUGAUAACCGUAUUAUCCAAGCCAACUUAACAUAAUUUUAUAAUAUAUUUUAUUAUGUGGAUCUUUAAUGAAAUAAUCAAUUUUCAUUGUCAGAUAAUGUUGCACAUCAGAAAUCGAAAGAAUAACCUUAUAAUAUUACUAAAAAGAAAGUAGGAUAUGGGGUAGAAUUACUAAAAAAGAAAAAAAAGAAAGAAAAAAAAGUGACGUUCAAAAUAACAAACAAUAUAUCCAUUAUAAUCUCACAAACGUGCGGUCUGAGAAGGAUAAAGUAUACGCGGCCAUACCCCUACCUUUGAAGGUAGAGUGUCAUUCCCAUUUAGGUCUGAUUCGGAUCCCUCAUUUAAGCGUUUAUUGCUUGCCAAAAAUCCUACUUCUACAAUUGGUAGGUCAUCGGGUUAUUCAAAUAAGUCGUGUUUUCCGUGGUUUUCCCACGUUACAACUUCCACACCUAUUCGGUCGAUCCGGAAUGGAUCGGUUAAACAUUCCAUUAGGUAGCGUUCCAUUAGACCCUCAACCAACUCAAGGAAAAAACGGUCCAAAUGAAACGCAACCACACUAAAUCAAUCGUUACAUAGAAUGAGACUUUUUAUCGUUACAUAACGAUGUACAUUCCCCUCUCUCUGGGGAUUACAUUCUAUUUCAGAUAUCUUGUUUUACAAAAAGAAAAAUGUACAGAACUAUUAUGGAUACAAAGAAUAGUGAAAAUAUGAAAAAUAUUUUUCUUCAAGCAUUACAAAAUUUGAAGAAAAAGAGAAGAAAGAACAUAGAAAGCACCUUCAAAGGGAGUUGUCAUACAGUACUACUACUACUUUCUUCUUUGUUCAUUAACUUCCGCUCUUCAUCUCUCGCGAAAAGCUUUUCAACUACUUCGUUCCAGUUAGCUCUUGCAUCGGUGGAAUGGUCCGUACUUGUGGAUGCACCUUCUACGAGGGAAGUCGCCUCUGUUGUUACUCCUCGUGAUGAUUCUUCCGCUUUAUGCGCUGAAGGUUCCUCAUCUGCGUCUGUUGGCACCGCGUGUGGAAUGUUUAAAGUGACGGCUCUUUCUAAUGCCUUCUUGUGUUCUUUUUCUAGUGUGUGCUGCCUUACGAUUUUCUGCACGGGUGGUGGAGCUGUCGGUGCCUCAGCACUCAUAGCCUCCUUGAGUCUCUGCAGGAAAGCGUUUACUCAGGUAAAAUAAAAAAUUCUUCAACAAAGAUUUUCAAGUAAGCGACGAUGACUUGGUAGCAUGCGGAAACAUAGCAGGGCUUGGCAAAGCUUAUGCAUACUUCGGGAUCUUAGGGAUCGAAACGAUUUCGUGGAAACUUAGCUAGCGUUUGGCCAUGAAAUUUGAUCAGAUGUUAUCGUGAACCAGUUUUCAAAUUCCAAAAAUCACUUCUUCAAAAACUCAAAUCUAAGCUUAAGCUCAUAGACAGUCUAGUUUCACCUACAUAUGUAAGAGUCAUGUUACUAGGGUGUGUUUCUACACUACAAAAAACGCAACAAGACCACAAAGAGUGAAAUUUUCGAACUAAUACCAAAUAAAGCAGUGCAAGGUAUACUAGAUAGUUGGCUAGCGCAUAGGUCUCAUAGCUUCUGCGUUAUCCUGAGGUCGAGAGUUCGAGCCUCUCUCACCCCAUUUUUCUUUGAAGGGGAGCCUUGGAGUAACUGGUAAAGUUGUUGCCAUGUGACCAAGGUCACGGGUUCAAGCCUUGGAAACAGCCUCUGGCAGAAAUGCAAGGUAAGGCUGCGUACAAUACACCCUUGUGGUGGGGCCCUUCCCCGGACCCUUCGCAUAGCGGGAGCUUUAGUGCACCGGGCUUCCCUUUUAGGGAAUACUAGUUAGCAGGCUAGCUGCCAUACAGUAAAACUACUUGGUGAAUUAAAGAGAAACCAGACGGUGCUUCGUUGGCCGUGGGAGAAUGCUAUAUACCCCCGAAAAGCUACGACUUUAUAAUAAAGAGGAGACCCUGGCUAAUACUCACUCCCUUUCACCAUUUGCACGCAUCAAGUGUAAUUAAUCAUUUAUAUAUAUAUUUUGCUUCCUUUCGUGGGAUAACCAUGAAGUUGGUUACGUCUUAAAGGCUCAAGUGUAGUAUUUGCACUCAUAUGUGCAUAGGUGUCUUUCUUCCUUAAAUGUUAUCAUCAUUUACUUGUGGAAAAUUUUUUUUUAGGGAUAUGAAAAUUGAAAUCCAACGGGAGGGAAAAAGGAAAAACAUUCAGAAGUUACUUACCGCUAACGCUUUCUCUGUUUCUCUUUGUAUCCAAAUAAUUGCAUGAUCAGAUGUCGCAUUGCAUGACAGCACAAUAUGUUCAAAUCUUCCAUCAACGGGGAUGGCAGUUCUAACAUCUGGAGGGUAUCUCCCACAUCUGUCGAGCAAUAAAACGUGAUUAAGCAAAAGUAGUGAAGCAUCGAUGUCCCAACAUCAGCAAAUUGAUCAAAUCGAUGUCACAAUGCACUUGAGGAGAAGAACAGAAGAAGACGGAGUAAGCACAUACGAAUUAAAAGGUUUAAGCUAAAACUUUUGAAACUUAAACAAUCAGGUCCGUUAAAGUACUUCAGUCUGUUAAGAGAUUCGUUAUCCUCCAUAUAUGACACAAUAAAGAAAAUCAUGUCAGGUAAUCCAGUUGAACUAAACGCUUCUGAACAAUAGGAACUUAAAGACGACAUUCAACAGUAAAGAAGUGGCAUUCAUGGUACACAGCAGGUCUGGCUGGCCAGAAAUUUGGGUUCAUAACGGUGUAUAUAACUUAGCUAGCAUGAGUUCUUUGACUUGCAUGAACUUCUAUACUGUUGACUUUGUAAAAGGUAUACAACUACAUCGUCCAUGCCACUUCUACGAAUAUAGGAUCAUUCUUUUUUGAUAACCGUGGUGUCUAGGCCAGCUUUCGCGAAACUCGACUAAUUCCACGGGAUACCUGCCACCUCCAACCAGCAACAGGUAUCUAUUACAUGCCUAUGUGACUGUGCAUGCCUACAAGUUUUUUGUGGUGUCUUCAAUCUAUAAGAGUCAUUAGCCUUUCUUUUCUAGAGUUUCAUUCGGUGAGAGGAGCAUCAAAGUUUGAUGCAACGCUAAAACAAUUCUAGUCUGCAUUGCUCUGUUAACUUGGAAAAAGCAACGGGAACCAACAUUGUAACACAUUUCAAAUAUGAAAAAGUUACAGUGACAUCUUGUGAAUAGUUCAAAAAUGCCUCAUAGUCCAAUACGUCAGGUAGUAUGUUGCCAAAGUGAGGUCGUAUGUCUGAACCUAUUGAUGCAAAAUUCUAAUAUUUUAUCGUCGGAGCACUGGAGAAGUGCUCAGCAUUUCUACAUGAGACAAUGGUUGGAAUCUUGGAACCAGCCAAUCCAAUGCGGAGGUAAGACUGUCUAAAAAGUAAUUACUCUUUGGAGAUCAAAAAAGUAAAACCGCUGAAAAGAGUAGCGUGGAGUAGUAGUAUUAAUAUUUUAACGUGAUAUACCUGCAAAAUUUUCUCUCAAUGACGUGAUACAUUCGACCAGGUGCAUAUAAUCUUCUUGGAUCUCUGAGCUUCCUACCUUCAGGUAUGAAGGUAUCUCUCAAGCACACCAAAAAUAACAAGCACGGUAAACUGUCAAAAGCAUUAAUGCACAGUUUAAGAUAUACUUAUAACAAUUCAUCCAUAGCAAAAAAUGAUCCGAAGGAAUUUAGGAAACUCGAGGGCUUUGUUCUGCACCCAAAGAGUAUAGGAGAAUUGAACUAACCAGAAGACGGAUGUGAAUAUAUCUUCCAGUGGGGUGGGCGUUCGUGGUAAGAAAUCAUCCUGAAGUAGAAGAAGCCAGAAUAGAUAAUGUUAAUUCAGAUAACAUGAUUGUUUCAUGAAGUUCCAUUUAGCAGUAAGGAACAAAUCAAUACCGAGUUUAUUGCAUUCAUGACUUCCACACUACAACGCUACAACUUCAGUUAAGAGAUCAUAGAAAGAAAAGAAAUCCCAAAGUUUGAAUCUUCUCAAGAAUAUUUAAAUUCCCAGAUAAAAACAGUGAAACAUUGUUUUUGCCUUUUUGGUAAUUAUUUUACUGCAAUAUCCUAAAAGUUUGACUGCCCCAUCAAUUAAAUCCUGUAGCUGACAGAAACGAAUGAGCAUGACAUCGAUAACAGUUAGAUCCAUACUAGUAUGCAGCCUGAAUCAGCCGUGUUUGCUUUGACGUAAAGGGCAGAGGCUGUUCCAAUUCCUGUCAGUGGAUAGGACAAGCAUUCCCCUUGCUAUAAAUACCAUUUUGUUUAAUCAUUUUUUCUUUAUAAUGGAUUUUAACUGACUACUGUUCUGAUCCACCGGAUGACCGGAAUAAGAACUGGAACCACCCUAAACACCUGAAAAACACAUAGCAAUGUCCCUUCUUCCACUGUAGUGGCUUCAAAUUCCCCCCUCGUUAUCGACAGUUAGAACUGUUUGGAUCCAUUUCUUUUUCUGUAUUACCUCAAGGAUAUGAGUUGUAAGAGAAAACUUCAAAAUGGUAUAAGCAACUGAUCAGAACAAGAUUUAGACAGAAUGAAUUGAAAUGAGCUAGUUUUGGGGACAAGAUGAACUCUAAGCUAAUUCGACAAAAAACUGACCAUUUCGAAGUCUCAAAUAGUCUGACUUUGCAUUUUGGACUAUGUCCCAAGUCAUGGUACCUGAAAUAUACUUGUUAUAAGCUAAUUGUGCAAACUUUAAUCUACAGUAAGUUGGUCGUCGUAUAGAAGAACUAAAAACCUAAGUUGCUCAGACUCUUCAAAAAUGUCUAUGGGUGCGUGUCGGAUCCUCCAAAAAUAAUGUAUUUUUGAAGGAUCCGACAUGGGUGCGGUAACGUUUUUGGAGAGUCGAGCAACUUAGCUAAAAACUGCCAAAGGAUAGCGCAACUGUCUUCAAAAGUUCAUAUGAUGGCUAUUAUACACAAGUCCUACUCUAUAAAAUCCUGUAAAAACAAUGUGCCAGUGAUAAUUGAGAAGCUUUUUCGUAGAUUGGUUCUUUUACAUGUACAUAUCCCAAAACUCUUGAUAUGUGCUUUCCAAGUACUAUACAACAACAUACCCAGUGUAAUCCCACAAGUGGGGUCUGGGGAGGGUAGGACGCAUGUAGACCUUACCACUUUGUGGGGUAGAGACACUGUUCCCGCUCGGCUCAAAAGAAGUUUGGACAAAACAGGAUAAAGAGGAAAAUGGCAACAACAUCAUAGCCAGAUAAACAGAGCAAAUGAAGCAACGUUAGUAGUGAGAAUUGAAGAAUAAGAUACUACGUUAAUACGAAAUACUACUACUCAAGGGGUGCAACACGAGGACUUCCUCGGGGGCCAGGCUCCCGAAGAGAGAAGCCCAACGAAUGUCAGAUGCAAAGCCUCGCACCUCAUUAAGAUCAUAGUGGCAGAGUCUCCCAAAAAAAGAAAAAGCAGAACCCAUUGAAGACGAGUGAGGUACAACAAGGCCGAUCGCCCAUCCUAUUACCAUAUAGACACGCCAACAAAUCUUGACAUAAAGACAAACUAUAAUCAAGAGACCACAUUUAUCUGCACUAAAAGUAAGGACAGGAUGAUAGUCAAAGCAGGCCCAGCGCAUUUUUACCAUUCACUCAUUACAAGUCGAAUGCGAUAAAUCCCUAAAGGAAACACAUUCAGAAAAAAUUCAAUCCGCUUCUAUAUUUAAGGACGUAUUAAGCUUACAGCAUCGGAUUUGUUCUUUUCCUCUAGACUCUGACAUUCUUCUGCCCAAAAUUAUUAGCUAAAUCAACAGACCAAGCAUACAUUUUAGUCUAAAUCACAGUAAACACCAUAUCCAACAUUUUCAAUCACAAGCUACUAAUGUACAAAAUAUAAAUCAAGCAGUAAUAUUUUUCCCGAAUACGUUGCUAAAGCAAGAUCGUAACAAAUUAAAAUAGCAAAGCAAUGACGACUAAACCAACUCACCUGCAAAAUCACUGAGUGGAUAAUAUCAGCAUAUUUAACAGCUAAGUUGAGCGACAUACACCUAGCAGGAGCAACAGCAUAGCAACUGAUUAAACUCCUCGGAAUACCGCCUAAUCUAUCCCCGUGAUUCGCCACAAUUAUAGUCAACAAGGAUGCAACUCCAGAACCCAAAGAAUGCCCCGCAAAUAUCAUCUUGUAACUCUUCCCAUUCUCAACCCAAAGCUUUUUCAAAGUUUCGGAUUCUUUAUUCAACAUCCAAAUUGCCGCUUUCAACAAACCAUGAUGCACAUACCCACCAUCAAACAUCUGUUUCCCAAGCUUAUUAUCCAUCAAGACUUUAUAAUCACUUUCUUUAACCAAAUUUAAACCCCGUAUGGCUACAACAAUCUCAUGGUUGUCAUGAUCAAGGUAAAUCAAAUAAGGUGGAGCAUUACCUGUCCAAAAAACAAAAUGACAUUGAGUGAAAAUUUUGUUGGAAAUAAAUAGAAAAGAAGCAAUAGAAUUGGUUACAAGAAAAUGCACACAAUAGCGGAGCAAAGAAUUUACGCAAGGGGAUUCAAAAAAUACUAAAACAUACACCACCUAUGAUUUGAACCAGCAACCUAAACUAAUUUUUUAUACCCCCUUUGAAACUAUAAUAAGUUUUUCUCUAACAUUUUUGCCUUAUUUGCACAGUAUCAUAAAAAUUUUCUCUGACAUUUUUGCGCAAUUUGCACAAUCAAAACAUUGCAUUUAAACUAAAAACACAAUACAAUAGGUAAAACCAUCCAAACAAGCUGUUAAUGAUGGAUUUAAUGAUACUAUUAAGUAACAAUCAAAGUAAAGAUUGUUUUUAUAGGAUAGGUACUUAUACUAACAAUACGAAACAAUACAAUAGGUAACAACCAUCCAAACAAGGUGUUAGGCACUGUCCUAAGAAACUAAUUUGCAGCAAUACAAAACAGCAGGUAACAAUCAUCCAAACAAGCUCAUGUUGGGCACUGUCCUAAGAAACUAAUCCAUAGAAAGACAAAACAAUACAAUAGAUGGCAACCAUCCAAACAAGCUUGCGUUAGGCAUUGUCCUAAGAAACUAAUUCAUAACAAUACGAAACAAUACAAUAGGUAAUAAAUCAUCCAACCAAGCUCGGGUUAGGCACUGUCCUAACAAACUAAUUCAUAACAAUACGAAACAAUAAAAUCGGUAACAACCAGUCAAACAACCUCGUGUUAGGCACUGUCCUAAGAAACUAAUUCAUAAUAAUACGAAACAAUACAAUAGGUAACAACCAUCCAAACUAGCUCGUAUUAGGCAUUGUUCCAAGAAACUAAUUCAUAACAAUACAAUAGGUAACAACCAUCCAAACUAGCUCGUAUUAGGCACUAUCAUAAGAAACUAAUUCAUAACAACAGGAUAGGUUCCAACCAUCAAAACGACCUGUUAUAAUUUGACUUAAUGACAGGAUUCAGUAACAAUCAAAACAAACAUUGUACUUAAAACAACAAUACGAUACAACAAAGUAGGUAACAACCAUCCAACAAACAUUGUAUUUAAAGUAACAACACAAUACAAUAGGUAGCAACCAUCAAAACAAGACGAUGAAGUAACAUUCAAAACACACAUUGUACUUAAAACAAGAACAAGAAACAAUACAAUAGCUAACAAGCUUGUGCUACGCACUAUCCUAAGAAACUACUUCAGCAAUGCUCAGAAAUUUACCAAGUGUCUCUUUAUAUGCAACAUGCUUCACAGCCCAAUGGGGAUUAAGCCUAUAACCUCCUUCAGGUGCAAACUUUGGUUUAUGGAGAUCAUCUUCAUAAACAGCAAGAAUUGUACGACAAAGACGAGGUAUAGGUUCGAAUUCAUCGUAGGUUGCUGGAGGCCACGUGGCACUGUCAUCAUUGCCUAUGUAAGUACAACGUUUCCAUACCCAACGCAUACAUCCUAACACAACUACACACUCAAAUCCACAAGCAACUGACAUUAAGCAAGCUUAAGCUAAAUUAAAAAAUUUCUACUAUUACAAAUAUGCAAAAAUCAAGAAUGUCUACUAUAUUAAAAAUAGCUAAAAUCAAGAAUUUCUACUAUUACAAAUAUGCAAAAAUCAAGAAUGUCUACUAUAUUAACAAUAGUUAAAAUCAAGAAUUGCUACUACUACUAAAAAUAGCAAAAUAUGCUAAAAUCAAGAAUUUCUACUGCUAAAGAUUGAUUUUUUGAGGUUUGUAAGUGGAAAUAUCAAGUGGGGUCGCAAUAAUUUGCAAAAAUAUGUGAUGGAUUUAGGAAUUUUUGUUUAUUUUUUCAAAAAUCAAGAAUUUCUACUACUAACUAAAGAUUGUGUUUUUUGAGGAUCAUAAGUGGAAAUAUCAAGUGGGGUUGCAAUAAUUUACAAAAAUCUGUAAAGUUUUUAAGGAUUUUUUUUUUUUUUUCAAAAAUCAAGAAUGUAUUAAAAUCUCAAUUUGUAUGUUUUGCUAAAAUUUGUGUUUUUUGAGGCUUAUAACUGGAAAUUUUAAGUGGGGUUGGUGAGGAUUUACAAGAACAUGUGAUGUGAUAGUUUAGAUUUUAUUUUUUUUUUGGUCUUUUGAAGAUUGUAUAAGAAGGGGAAAAUGAAGAACAAAAUAGAGCUAAAUUGAAAAUUUUGUAAAUUUAUAUGGGUUAAUUAUGUGAAAAAUGUGUUAUUGGGGUGGCUAGGUGGAAAUUUCACUUGGAUUUACAAGAUAUUGUAAGAAAAAAAUAAUAUUAUAAUUUUAAAAUAUAUUAUCACAAGAUUUUAUGAUUUUAUGUCUAUCAGAUAUGAAAUAAAUUCAUUCUAAAUUAAUUAUUUCUUAUACCAAACGAGGUGUAAGAUUAUUUUAUUUGUUAAAAGUUUUGAAUACAGGGGGGAUUGAUUUGAUUCCAUUUUUGGUUCUUGGCUUAGGGUCUAAGUAGGUGAGUUGUGUUCUUUUUUGUGCUAUGAUAGAAUUGUCAAUUAAAUUGUCAUUUGUACUAAUUCAUGAUUAUCUAGAGGCUUAGGCAUAUAUUUUAUUGAAAUUUGACCCAAAAAAAAAUGGAAAGGGAAAGUUGAUUAUGGUAUUUAAAAGUUGAAGUUGUAUUCGCAACUUCGAAUAUGUAAAUCAACAACAAACAAUGAUAUGUCUAAUAAUUACUGAUGGUAUUUGAAAUAGUGUAUACACGCUUAUCUUUUAUCUUAAAAGCUAAACGAGAUUGUUUCCUCGCAACGUCAUAGUUUAUUACAAAGAGCGUCAUGAGACAUUUUGAUUAUUAGGUUGCCCUACCUUGAAUGAGAACUCGAAAAUUAGGACGCAUUCUCGUUUACGUUCAUCGACAACCAACUUUCACUAUCUUAAUCGAUGACUUUUUUAUCCUUUCCUUGAAAUUUUAAGAGAGAAUUUUCGAUAACAUCUCAUUUCAAGAUCAAUAUUUGAAUAUGCAUUCCACUUGAUUUUUCAUUUAUUUGAAAAACUUAUUUUCAAUGACUAUAAUUACUCCAAUGUACAUCAAAAUAAUAUAUUGAAGGAAAUAUAUAUAUAUAUAUAUAUAUAUGCCGAGAAGGGAUCAAAUGCGUGUGGUGUUGGACGUAUUGACUAAUUUUCCACGCUACAAAAGUUGUAUAACUUGUAUACAUCCUCCCAACAAAAGUGAAUAUUUUAUGUAUACAACAUAAUAAUUCACCAACAAAACCCCUUCGACGAAAAAUUAUAUUAUUAAUACACGAUUAAAAUAAUUUUUAUUUAUAUAUUUUAGAUGUUGAACCCCAUUCGAUGAGUUUUUCUUCAAAUUUUGAACCCCGUAAGCAAAAUUUUAGGCAAAAUAACAUAAACAUAUACUUUAUCUUAUCAUAUUUACACAUAUUUUCACUCUUAUAAAGUAAUUACAAAAAAUUUAAUUCAUUAUGUAUCUUCGUUGAAUGUAUCGGGGGCUAAUUAUGUAUCUCGACAGACUCAAAAUUGAAAUUUUCAGUAAUUAUGUAAAAUAUCAGAGUUUUUUAUAAUUAACUUCUAAACUGUCGGGAUUUAUGUUGUUUUCCCUUGUUAUUAACCCCGUUAUGCGUUUUGUAGAUCAAACAAGUAAUGGACUUGGGCCUGAGGUGAAGUUACAGCCUAAGAAUAGAGUGGAUUUUCACUGAGAUUUGGGUUGAGCAAUGAAGGGUUAAAGGUGGCACUUGUGCAAAUUAUGUGGAAGUUUUAGCUUAGUCUGUUAUCCUCUCGCCUCUUCUCUAUGUUCUAGAAUCUCAUCUCGUUCUAGUUACUUACUUCCCCUGUCUGUUACUAUAUGAUUUCUCCAUUUCUAUUGUCACUAUUAUCUUACUGUUUCAAUUCCAUUUCUCGAUGUUACUGUUGUGUUGAGAAAUUCGAUCGGAUUGUUACAACAUCCUUAAUCAGAGAUUUCAAACUAAGCCCUUAGAAAUAGAAAUAAUUCUAUUGGGCAUGCCACCUUCAGAAAUUCGAUGAAAUUGUUACAAUAUCCUUAAUCAGAGAUUUCAAACUAAGUCCUUAGAAAUAAAAAUAAUUUUAUCGGCGUGCCACCUUCAGAAAUAUUAUUGAGUCAGAUUACAAAUAUCAAACGAUAUAAUUGGAUACAAAUUAAUUAAUUAAACACGUAGUCAAUGAAUGUCUAGGUUUGGUGAUAUUUCCAAGCAAAUUCCACAAUUAUUUUUUUAAUAAUAUGAUCAUUCAACAUGUUGAGAAGGUAUUUACCACUCUUCUUUCCCUAUGGCCCAUGAGAAAGGAGGAUUUGAUAGGCAUGUUGAAUAUUUUAGAAAUUCUAAUAUUAAAGUGAAAAAUAAUUCCACAUCUGUGUGAGCUCGUUCACAUUGUUGAUCUUAAAGUCUGGUUAAAAGAAAAUGAUUGUCGAGACUUAAUCAGAAACAACCUCUGCAUUCACUUAGGUAUACGGAAAAGAUUGUCAACUACGUAUAUCUUAUACCUUCUCUAGAUUUCACGCGUAAAAUUAUAUUGAGUUUGUUGUUAUUGUACUUGUAGUAUAUAUAAAUAGAAAAUAUAACAGGAACAAGAAAUAUUCUCUGCCCAUCAUCUAGAACUUCAAAAAAAUGCUACUUACAAUUUUUAUCAAUUAAAUUUACUGAAAAGAAACAUGAGAAUAUUCAUGCUGAAGACAUUAUUAACUUAAUAAAAAUGUGUUCUUUUACCCGAAUUGAAUUAUACACAAAAUUACUGAGAUUUACCCGAACUUUAAGAGGGUCCUAUUAUCCCUGGCCUAAUUAAAAUCGUAUCUUUUGUAAUCUUAGUGCCUAAGUGGCAUAUACGUGUGCCUGCGUGGACCUUUAGUGUGUUGAUUCACUGAUGUGUCACGAUGUGCCACGUAGACACUAAGGUUGUCAAAAUACGAUUUUAAUUAAUUCAGGGGUAAUAAAACUCUCUUAAAGUUCAGGUAUAUCUUAACAAUUUCGUAUAUAGUUCAGGGUGGAAACUGAAAAUUUUCUCUUUCUUUUAAUAACAUAAUAUUAAAGCAGAAUAUAAAGGCCCUCGAUUUGAAUCUUUGCAUGAUAAAUAUUAAGCUAUUAAAAAAAAGAAAAUUCAAUUUUCAUGUGUUUGGGACAUGAAACAUAAGCCCAUAUGUGACGGGCUAUUCCGAACUAUGAUCAAAGUUGCCACGAUACACUUCAAUUUUACAAGAGACCUGUUACCCCUUAAUCUCAUAAUGUAUUUUUGUCACCCUUUUAUACUGAUGUGACAUCUUUAUUACAUAAAAUAGGGCUCACGUUAAAGGUAUCAUGCUAGUAGGGGCGGACCUACACAUAAUUUGUGGGUGCUCGAGCACCCACUAAACUCUAAACAGAAUAGAUAUAAUUACAUUAAAAAAAAAAUAUGAAAAUAGGUAUAAAUUAUAUAAAAACACUCAUUAAAUACGAAGUUGGUUAGGUGCACUAGCAUUUACAUUGAUCUUAAGACUCUCCACUGGUAAGUGUGCUCCGGUUCAAACCUGAUUGGGGUGAUUUUUUAUUUUUUCUAUAGUAAGCACCCACACUCCUUAAAUCUUGGGUCGUCCGCCAUUGCAUGUCAGUUAAAAAAAAUUGAUAAAAGGUAUCACAUCAGCUAAGAAAGAUAACAAAAAUAUGCUAAAAUCUAAUUUAGGAGGUAAUCGUAAAAUUGAGUGUGUCGUACCAAAUUUGAUCAUAGUUCGGGAGCAGAUAAACUCUUUGCAAUUCAAAGUGAAAAAGACAUAAAAACGUGAAAGAAAUGAAAAAAAAAAAAACAUAAGUCACCAAAAUCAACCCAUGAAAUAUCUAGAUACUUAGAUUUUUUUGGCUCAUUUCUUUUCUACCUCAUCUAACUAAAUCACCAUUAACCAUAGCAACAAUAUAAUGCUUUCUUCUUCUUGCCUAAUACAAUAGCCAAAUAAAUACACUUAAUUAGUUGGCCAAAUCAAGAAAAUUUUCAACCAUUAAGAAAAAACUCCCAACUACCUAUAAAUUAAAGGUUCGAAAUAUACUUAAAUUCUGGCGAAAUUUAUUGUGACACGCUUUAACUUUGCGGGGUUCUAUGACGCCUCGACUAUUUAUUACUGGAUUUUUGUGACAUAUAUUGCCCAUCUGGACCGCUACGUGAAUACACGCGCACUGAGCGCAUAAGGGUCUGAAGUGGUCUAUAUAUGCUAAAAAAAUCCGAUAAUAAAUAGUCUGGGGGAGUCAUCGGACCCCUGCAAAGUUGAGGCGCAUUACAGUAAAUCUCGUCAAAGUUUAGGUUAUAUUUUUGACACUUCACUUUUAAUUUUAAGUAAGGAAGAUUUUCCCAUCAACAAGAAAAAAAUCAAAUCCAUCACCUACUAUGACUAAACUUGAAGUACAUGACAUACACUAAAAAAAAAAAUGUAUGCACACUUAUAAAUUCUCACAAAUUCUCACAAUCAAUUGCAAGACAAAUAUCUCAUUCUAUCUCGAAAUAUUCAUUCACUCGAAACUGCUCUGCUAUCGAUUUAUUUUUUUUGCUUUACGUGAGCGAGAACGAGUUUUUUCGAGUUUUUCAGAAUGGUGAAUUUAAGCCAAGUUAUUGGAUUUUUGAUUAUUACAAUUGUUGCAUUUGUGGCAUCAGCUGGUGGUGAACAAGUUGUUACAUAUGUAUUUGGUGACUCAUUGACAGAAGUUGGGAACAAUAAUUAUUUGCAAUCUUUAGCUAAAUCUAAUUAUCCAUUUUAUGGAAUUGAUUAUGAAGGUGGAAAAGCUACUGGUAGAUUUACUAAUGGAAGGACUAUUGGUGAUAUUAUAUGUAAUUUUUAUAAACUUUGUUUCAUUAUCUUGAGUAUACUUAUUUAUUUUCUCAUAUUUUCAGGUGGCAAAUAGGCUGGUCAGGUUAAAAUUCAUGUUGCUUGACUCUUUAAAAAUACUAUCGCGCCGUGUUAGAUUUUUCAAAAUGAACUACUUUUUGAGGAUCCAACAUGCAAUUAUUGUCGUAACUUUGUUAGAUCUUUCAAAAUGAACUACUUUUCGAGAAUCCAACGUGGAAAUAAUGUCGCAUCUUUGUUUGAUGUUUCAAAGUGAACUACUUUUCGAGGAUCCAACAUGCAAAUAAUGUCGCAUCUUUGUCAGAUCUUUCAAAACGAACUACUUUUCGAGGAUCCAACAUGCAAAUUAAAUGUUGUCGCACCUUUGUUAGAUCUUUCAAAAUGAACUACUACUUUUUGAGGAUCCAACAUGCAAAUUAAAUGUUGUCUCACCUUUGUCAGAUCUUUCAAAAUGAACUACUUUUCAAAAAUCCAACUUGCAUUAAGCAGCAUUUUAGAGAAUUCGAGCAACAUGAGUUAAAAUGAAUCGAAUUAAUAAAGCGAUCAUGACCCAAUUCAUCCAAGGUAUGUUGGGUCAACUAGGGUCAAAUAAUAGGUCAUUACUCAAUUCACCCAACAUGACCAACCUUGCCCCCUCUUUUAAUUUAAUUUUUGAAAAUAAAAUGCGAAAGUUAAAUUUAUUUCCAAAUUUACAUAAUUUACAAUCUUCAUGUUCUAUAGUAGUAUAUGUUUUGAAUUUGGAUUGCAUUUUGAUAUGUAGGUUUACAUUAGUUUGACCGCUUUGCAGUCUAUAAUUUGAUGAGUCAUUUCGAGUUCAACAUGUUAGGUCAAUACAACAAAUGUGUCAUGAUCUAACUACUAAGAAAAUGAGAACUGCUAAGAAACGUCUGUGACAGAAAUCGUUAGAAAUUUAUCAGAUAUUAUCGACGAGCUAAAUUUUGACAGAUUUAUUGGGAUUCUAACAUAUUUUUUACUCUUUAAUUUUCAGCUGAAAAACUUGGGAUUGAAUCACCACCCCCCUAUCUUUCAUUAGUACCAAAUGAUGAUGCAAUUUUGAAAGGGGUUAAUUAUGCAUCUGGUGGAGCUGGAAUACUCAAUGACACUGGACUCUAUUUUGUAACAAUCAUUUCAUCUCUUAUAUAUAUAUANNNNNNNNNNNNNNNNNNNNNNNNNNNNNNNNNNNNNNNNNNNNNNNNNNNNNNNNNNNNNNNNGACCUAUUUUUUUAUAUUCUAAUAAUCUUUUAUAUAUAUAUAUAUAUAUAUAUAUAUAUAUAUAUAUGAUACAUAAAUAUGUCGUUUUAAUUGGUUCGAGCUAUCAUUUAGACUCUCCGACGUUGGAUGUGCAUUAAUAGAGGCGGAGCCAGACUAGUAAAGGGGAUUUGGACGAACCUCAUUUGACGAAAAAUUAUAUUAUUAAUACAUGGUUAAAAUGAUUUUUAUGUAUAUAUUGUAGAUGUUGAACCCCCUUCGGUGAGUUUUUCUUCAGAUAUUGAAUCUCCUCAGCAGAAAUCUUGACUCCGUAUCUGUGUGCAUAAGUAGACAGUUAAACCUGUGUGAAGUUGAACAAUACGAACCCGCGUCCUAUAUAGCCAUUUAUGUAAAAUUGUCAUGUAGAUGCCACAUAGGACACGUGAGUUUAUGUGUCUAUUUGUGUACACACAAAGUUGGAGGGCGUAGAUCCCAACUGAGGUUAGGGGUGGAGCCAGAGCCUUUUGGCAAGAGAUUCAUCCGAAUCCUCUUCGAGGAAAAAAUAUAUCAUUUAUACAUUAUUAAAAUUAUAUUUUAUGUAUCUAUAGUAGAUGUUGAACCCCCUUCGACUAAAUUUUCUUCAAAUAUUAAAUCCUAAAUUGAAAUCCUGGCUCCGUCUCUGACUGAAGUCAAGCUAACGGACAUGUUUAUGUAUUAAUUCUAAAUUCUCAAAUUAAUUUAACUUGCAACUGAUUCAGAAUAUGUAAUGUGCACAAAAUUACAGAUUCAGAGAAUGACAUUUGAUGAUCAAAUAAAUAGUUUUGAGAAGACAAAAGAAGCGAUCAAGGCUAAAAUUGGACAAGAAGCUGCAGAAAAACAUGUUAAUGAAGCUGUCUACUUUAUUGGAAUGGGUAAGUUUUCUUCUUUAUUACGUUGCUCAGACUUUUCAAAAAUACCGUCACGCGCAUUCAUACCAGAUUCUCCAAAAAUAUUAUUUUCGAACAAUUUAACAUGCAUCUAACAACAUUCUUAAAGAAUCCACUCAGCAUAGAUAACAACAUAGUACUAGCAUAACUUAGUGGGAAAUAAGAAAAAUUCGAUGUUGUUGAUGUUUAUAUCGAUCGAUCAUAGUGAUUUAUUAGAUCGAAAACAGAGGAUCUUGAAUACUACUUGAAAUUAAGAAAAACAAAAAAUUACGAACAAAUUAAAUAAUCCCUUUUUAUUUGCCUAUCUUGGUAAUGUAUUUGCCAAAAAACGAUAUAACUCUGUUGCUCUGAUGCCAAAUUUUUGUAAUUUUUUUUAGGUAGCAAUGACUAUGUCAAUAACUUCUUGCAACCCUUCUUAGCUGCCGGACAACAAUACACACAUGACGAAUUCGUAGAGCUUCUAGCAUCAACCUUAGGCGAACAAUUCACAGUAAGUUAUACAUAGUUCAAUUCUGAUAGCGAAAUGAAAAAAAGGUCAUAUCUAUCCCUGAACUGUUGAAAAUGGUUCGUAAAUACCCUCUGUUAUACUUUUAAAUUAUUUAUACCCCUGUCGUCUAAUUUUAGGUACAUAUAUACCUCCGAACUAUUGAAAAUGAUAUGUAUAUAUACCCUUCAGUUAGACGGCGCACGCCACGUGUCCUCAUUCGAAAGGAAUUAACCCAUUUUUCCUUAGCAUUUUAUCUCCUGACAUACCAACGAAAUGUUCUACGACCGGAGUUGGAAGCGAAUUUCACCCAUGCCUAUUUCUUGGCAAACCAAAACCAAUGCGGCCACAAAAUAUUUUUUUAGGAUGAGGACACGUGGGCGAAACUCACUUCCAAUUCCGACCAUUAGACAUUUUCCCAGCAGGUCCGAGGAUAAAUUGCUAAGGUGAAAUAAGUUAAUUUAUUUCGGAUAAGGACCUGUGGCGCACGCCAUCUAACUAAAGGGUAUAUAUACACUAUUUUCAGUAGUUUGAGGGUAUAUAUGUACCCAAAAUUAGACCACAAGCGUACACAAAUAACUCAAAAGUAGAACAGAGUGCAUUUACAUACCAUUUUCAAUAGUUCGGGUAUAUAUGACCUUUCUCUGAUAACAAAAUACUACAUACAUUAGUAAUGCAAGAUUUUAUAUCGGAAAUCAAAUGUUGUACGAGUAAUGCAGAAUGUGAUAGUAAGUAGCUGUUUAUAACACGUGUCUUUCCAGUACUGACUUACUGCAUACCAUUGUUGUACAAGUAAUAUAGAAUGUGAUAGGAAGUAGCUGUCUAUAACAUGUCUUUCCUGUACUGACUUACUGUAUACCAUUGUUAUUGGACUGACAACAUUUUUUUUAAAAAAAAAAAUAAAAUUAGAGGCUUCAUCAACUUGGAGCAAGAAAAAUAGUGUUCCAUGGACUUGGACCACUAGGUUGCAUUCCAUCACAAAGGGUGAAAUCUACAAGAGGAAUAUGUUUGAAACAAGUCAAUUUAUGGGUACAACAAUUCAAUUCAAAAGUCAAGAAAUUGGUUGACAAUUUGAAUAAGCAUCUUCCAUAUGCACAAAUGACAUUUGCAGAUACUUAUCCAUUAGUUCUAGACUUGAUUGAGAACCCCAAAGCUUAUGGUAAGUUCAAUUUUCUCAUAACUUAAAUAUAUAUAUAUUAUUUGUUGUUUGUAAAAUACUAAAAAAUAGUAACAAGAGGUAGGGCACGCUACAAUUAACAUAACAAUCAGCUAAAAUUCAAUAACUUCUUAAAUAUUUUUGAGUGAAGCAUCUAAUACUUCUAAAUUAUGACCAAAUUUGCUACGACACACCUCAUUCACGAGAAUCCUAUUACCCUCAAACUAAAUUUUGACAUAUUUAUGAUCAAAUUUGCUACGACACACCUCAUUCACGGGGAUCCUAUUACCCUCGAACUAAAUUUUGACAUAUUUUUGUCAGCUGAACUAUGACCAAAUUUACUAUGAGCUGAACUAUGACCAAAUUUACUAUGACACACCUCAUUUAUAGGGAUCCUAUUACCCCCCAACUAAAUUUUAAUAUAUUUUUGUUAGCCUUUUUAGCUGACGUGAUACCUUUUGUCAACUUUUUCAGCUGACAUGACACCUUUAAUGGGGGUUCCAUUUUAUAUAAUAAAGGUAUUACAUCAGCACAAAAGGAUGACAAAAAUAUGUCAAAAUUGAGUUCCGAGGUAAUAAUACUCUUGUGAAGUUGGAAUGUGUUGUAGCAGCUUUGAUCAUAGUUUGAGAAUGUAUAGGAUGCUUAUCUCUAUAGUUUUCGUAGACAACUUAUAUUUUACAGGAUGAUCAACACGUAGUUGAUUUCUGUCUCUUACCUUUCAUGACCAAUCGAUGAUGCCUCACAUACAUAGGUUCACAUACAUAGGUACCUAAACUUCAAAAUCCUGAGACCAUCAUCCUAAAGUCCAUUUCAUAAAAUUCAAAUCUUAAAUUAGCCUCGAUUAGUUUGGUAUUUUUCUUUACUUGGGACUUUUAAAGAUUGAAUUUUUUUGUUACUAUUUUUGUCUUUAGGUUUCAAAAUUUCCAAUACAUCAUGUUGCAAUGUGGACACAAGUGUUGGAGGGUUGUGUUUGCCAAACUCCAAGUUGUGCACAAAUCGAACUGAAUAUGUAUUUUGGGAUGCAUUUCAUCCAACAGAUGCAGCAAAUGCUGUGCUUGCAGAUCGAAUUUUCGCCACUUUGUUUCAUCAAACCACGUCAAGCCCUGCACCAGCACCAGCACCAACACGAGCACGGAAGUUUUUUUCAAGAAAACAUAGAAAUUGACUUGGAGGGUAAAAAAAAAGUAGACAAACGGGACCUAUUAUGAGACAUACAAUGUGUUACAUAACGAGACAUGUUAUAGUGAAAAAAAAAGGAUCAUUCGAAUUGUCAUCAAGGUUGCUAUUGCUAUUUGAUUCUAUUGUAAAUUGUUGUUUAAUUACAUUGUCUUAAUAUUUGUUGCGAGUCACUGAAUUAUUUAUUAACAUAUUAUGGUAAAAUUUCACCAAAAAUUAAAUAUAUCUUGAAACUGUUUCCCUAUAUUUGUUAAUUUUGAAGCUAAACUUUCUAAUAUUAAGAUGACAUUUUAAACAUUUUUUGUGUAUGAUUUGGUAACUUUUAAAAGAUUAUUUUGCCAAAACAAAGUUGUAAUUUCUUUUAAGAUGUGAAAGUAAGAAAGAUUAUUCAAUUUAUUAUCAAAGGAUACAGUUGUUGCUUAUUUUAUUUCACGCAAUUGGCAAUUUUAUUCCAUUUUAGAAAAUAUUUGGGACAGUGGCAAAGACUUUUCAAAGCUAAUUUAGAUUUGAACUAUGAAAUUCUUAAAUUAUUAAUGCACUUUAAACAUGUAAUUACUAAGUUAAUUAUCACUUUUGACGAAAUAAUUAGUCUUGUUAAAUGUUAAUUUAUAUAAUCAGGAACAAGAUAUUACCAUAAUUAUAAUCGUUUUAUGUUUCUACCAAAAUAAUCACUAAUCUGAAAACAUUAUGCUUAACUUAUACAAGAACAAUAUUAUAAAGCUAAACAACAAAAAUAAAUUAAAAUUUAAAAAAAAAAGGUAAAAUAAAAGUAAUUGCUCUCAGAUAUGGGCCAAAGAUUUUCCACAUGUGAAAUUUAAUAAGAAUUUAACUAGACCCUAAAUAGAUUUCAAGCUGAAGAAAUAAAUAAAUCCCACUCAAUUUCAAUUUUCUUUGAAAAAAAAACUCUCAGCUUUACACCAAAAAUAAAUUGGAUAAAAGAUUCAUAAAGCCUUUUUUUCAUAAAAAAAAAUAAAAAAAUUGAGUAAACAUUCUUCAGCUAAAAAUCCAAAAAGGUCUAAUUUAAAUCCUUAACAAACUUCUUAAUUUCAGUGUGGUUAAAGCAAAUAAAUCAUCAUUGAGCAAAAAUAAUUAAUUAAAAUUUAGGCAUCAAAAAAAAAAUUGUUGAACUUACGAGAAAACGCAUAAAUUCAUGAGAAAAAAAUAUUGAAAUUAGCGUGUCCAUAAGUACAAAAAAAAAUGAAAUUGAUUUUGCAUCUUUUCGGAUUUUCUCUGUUGUUAAUUGAUCGAAAUAGAGAAAAUCAUAGCAGAUGCUAUAAAUAAAUAAAACAAAAUUUCAAAUAAAAAGGGGGAAAAAUUAAGAAAAUUGAAGAGUAAUGAAGCAG